rnacentral:lncRNA from 1 species
GUUUAAACUUACACACAAGGUCCUUCACCCCAUUUCUCUCCACAUUUGAAGCACAAACCAUUCUUACUCCUUUCCUCCAGUUCUGGUGGACCUAAUCUCUUUCCCUUACCCCCUUCAUUUUUUAUUUCACUUUUUUCACCUCCCCCUAAACUGGUUUUGGCACCUCCUUUCCUCUCUCUGUUAAACUCUCCAGGACUUCUAAACCAGGGUAACACUCCCAUAUCCUUCCACUCCCCUUUGUCUCUGUUUGCAAUUCCCUUCUUUGCCUCAUUCUUCUCUUCCAAUAACAACGCUAUAUCCAUGAGAUCAGCUAAGUCAUGGUAGUCAUAGAGUUUCAUCUCAGCUUGUAUUUCAUGUUGGAGUCCAUUGAUGAAAAUACUAUCUAGCAUGACUCUCUUCCCUUCUUAAUGUUGCUACCAACAUCUCAAACUUUUCACAAUAUUCCAUUACCGUUCCCCCUUGUUUCAAGCUCAACAACGGGCAUAACAGAUUAUGAAGUAACCCAGGUUGAAAUCUGCAUAUCACCGCUGCUUUAAACUCCUCACGAAUCCUCAAUGGUGUUUGAUCCUCCCACCAUUGAAACCGGUUAAGAGCUCUUUCUUCCAUCGCUAUCAUCAUCGCAUCCAGCUUGUCACAUUCAUGUACCUCGUUCAAACGGAAGUAUCGUUCACCCUAAUGAUCCAUCCAUGAACGUCCUCCCCUAACAUUUCUGCCACUGUUUACAGUGGUUGGUUUUUACCUCACAGUUAUGUGUUUCCACAAUAUGUCAUUUAUGUGAUUGGUUUGUUCGAUUUUUUUAGCCCAUGUAGUGUGGGUAGAAAGAAUGUAAAUAGGGUACUUAUGGGCUGAUUUUGUGUUGUAUAUUUAUUAUUAUUAUUAUUAUUAUUAUUAUUAUUAUUAUUAUUAUUAUUAUUAUUAUUAUAGGUUAACUAAUUUUUGGUGUCCUUACGGCUCUUAAUAGAUAGAAUAUCCUCUCGCGUGCAAUUCCGACAUCAUAUGUCAACUGAUUCCUUCUUAUGUCUUUGGUUUCUUUUUAUUCUCGACUCAUGUAAUGUAAGCACAAUUUUACAAGUACACUUAUUAUUGUUCAUUAUAUAGUUUUCAUUAACUAUCAUUGUUGUUGGGUUCGAAGGACUCUUAAGAAGGAGCUUAAGAAGGAGCGUAAGGUUGAUAAUGUUCAGAAAUGGAUUUGGUUUCAACAAAUUUUAGAAGCUUUGGAGCACAUACACGGGGAAGAAAUAAUUCAUCUUGAUUUGAAACCGAAUAACAUAUUCCUAGAUGAUGCAGAUGAAAUCAAAGUCGGGGACUUUGGUCUUGGUAAGAUCUUGAAUCCCAUUCGUUGUUUAUUUUCUUUUCCUUCGCGUAUGUUUCCAAUAUUUUUGCGUAUGUUUCCAAUCUUGAAUCCCAUCAAUUCUGUUAAUGAUGUGUGGCACUGGAAAUCCCUGAUUUCUAGGAGAGCUGUUAGUAGUGAGGAAUAUAUGGACGAGGGUAGUGUUUGUUAGAAAUCUCUGGUAUGCAUUGAAACUGUUUCCUUACAAAGAACUCUAUUUCAUACUUCAUUUACACUGUUUGAUUCAAUAAAUUUUUCUGUAAGUUCUAUACAAAUAACUCUAUUUCACAAUGCUUUAUACAUUUUCAAUUAUCAAUAUAAUGUAUCUUGUAAUACAGUUGAGGUUGCUGGCAAAUGCCUGCACAUAAACACAUUUUCCUGCGUGUGCAGUAACAUUAUGUACCUCUCUGUACUGUUUCCCUAUUUUUGAUUCGGUCUAAAAUUCAUAUAAAACAAUGCCCUGUUAAUGUUUGAGCUUUCUACACUGGAGGGAGUAAUGGUUGUUUGUGAAUGGAUUAUCACAUUUUCUGUUUUUAUUUCUUCUUUCAGCCGAGUUCUUGGAGUCAGAUUCAGCCCAUCCUGCUGAAACAACUGAAGUUUCCAGUGAUGACACUCAAGAAAAGAAACAAUCUGUGAAAUGGUUAUAUACAGCUCCUGAGAUUGAUAAUGGAUGGGCGAAAAUUGAUUGCAAGGUAUAAAGUGUUCAACAUUAUCCUUUUCUAGCCGUAUAAUAUGUUUGCUUUGAUGAAAAUGAUAUAAUUAUUGGGUUUAUUUGAUGUGCAGGCUGACAUGUACUGCUUGGGAUUGAUUUUAUUUGAGCUUUUUCAUCCUCCAUUUCAGACAGAAAUGGAGUGGUUCAAUACUUUACUCAGUCUGAAAAAAGAAGGGAAACCUCCAACUGACUGGGCUGCAGAGUUUCCAGAACAAGCAUCCUUAUUGCAGAAGUUAAUUUCGCCAGAUCCCUCAAAACGGUCAUCUGCCACGGCACUUCUGCAGGAUGUAUCAUUGUUUCCUCCACAAGAGGAGUCUAAAUUGUUGGACGGUAAGUUUCUAUGACCUUUAUUGUUAAUUCUGCUACUUAUUGUUAUCCACCAAACGAAUUCAUCAUCUUAUCUAUUAAGCGGGGUCAAUUACAUGAAAUAUGUAUUUUAGGACAAACUUUAGACAUUAUGAAUCUUAAGUUCUUCUCUAGAUUAUCUUUUACGUUUUUGUUAUCCUAAAUCAGUAUCAGUUCUUUCAGAUAUCCUGCGGGCAAUGCAUGAUCCAGUGAAUAGAAGCAUUUACAAUCAAAUUGUAAUGGCUAUCUUUGACGAAGAGAUGCUAAGAAAGCAGCACAAUCAUGUUGAUGAAUUGAGAUUAAUUGGAGUUAACAGUUCAUCGAUGCAGAUCCGAGAUUGUGUUAUGGAUGUCAACAAAACAAUUUUCAUGAAAUAUCAUGCUAAACAUCUGGAAACAUCUCCAAUGCGAUUAGUGAAUGAUUCAUCUCAAUUUGACAGGUCAAUGUCCUCCUUUAAUUUCUUUACUAGUUUGCAAUUUAGUUAUUGUAGACUUGAUAGCCUAUAUAAGAGAUGAGUGGGUUUUAUCUAAUGUAUAGAUUAGAUCAAACCCACUAAUCUAUUAUCUAGGCUGUCAAGUCUACAAUAACUAAAUCGCAAACUAGUAAAGAAAUUAAAGGAGGACAUUGACCUGUCAAAUUGAGAUGAAUCAUUCACUAAUCGCAUUGGAGAUGUUUACAGGUGUUUAGCAUGAUGUUUCAUGAAAAUUGUUUUGUUGACAUCCAUAACACAAUCUCGGAUCUGCGUCGAUGAACUGUUAACUCCAAUUAAUCUCAAUUCAUCAACAUGAUUGUGCUGUUUUCUUAGCAUCUCUUCGUCAAAGAUAGCCAUUACAAUUUGAUUGUAAAUGCUUCUAUUCACUGGAUCAUGCAUUGCCCGCAGGAUAUCUGAAAGAACUGAUACUGAUUUAGGAUAAUUUAAGAAACUUAACAAAAACGUAAAAGAUAAUCUAAAGAAGAACUUAAGAUUCCUAAUGUCUAAAGUUUGUCCUAAAAUACAUAUUUCAUGUAAUUGACCACGCUUAAUAGAUAAGAUGAUGAAUUCGUUUGGUGGAUAACAAUAAGUAGCAGAAUUAACAAUAAAGGUCAUAGAAACUUGCCGUCCAACAAUUUAGACUCCUCUUGUGUAGGAAACAAUGAUGCAUCCUGCAGAAGUUUCGUGGCAGAUGGCCGUUUUGAGGGAUCUGGCGAAAUUAACUUCUGCAAUAAGGAUGCUUGUUCUGGAAACUCUGCAGCCCAGUCAGUUGGAGGUUUCCCUUCUUUUUUCAGACUGAGUAAAGUAUUUUAGCUUGCUUUUUGAAAGGCAUGAAAAAUCUGAGACAAUAUAAAUCAUGUGUAGACAUCUUUAUUCAGAAGAUAUGAGGUGUCAUAUGUUUACAAAAGAGCAGUUGGGCAUUCAUCACCAAACCGCUACCUUCAGGUACCAUUCUACAUGUUAUUUCUUACAAACUAUUCCGUAGUUCUCUUUUUUGACUCAAUCAAAAGAAAUAACCAAUACUUUUCCAUUUUGUUGUUGGUUUUUUUGGUGAAAGAAGAAUAUAAAAUAUCUGUGGUAUUUUGGUCUUACAUUCCAUGAAUAAUCUGUUUGGACUUUGCGACUAAUGGUUUGUGGUUUAUUGAUUAUUCAACCAAUUAAUUCAAAACCAUUUUCCCACAGGGAGAUUUUGAUAUUGUCACCUCGUUUACUUCAGCAUCGGCAGAGGUCGUAAAGGUGAUAUUUUCUACUGUAUCCUUGUGGAUUUUAUAAUUUCUUUUCGCUUUAUUUUAUCUUUGUUAUUAAGUUCUGCAUGUUAUAAAUAGUUAUCUGUGAUAGUAUUUUGCUGUAUGGUAGUCGUAAAACUACUGCCAAUAAAAGGAAAAAUCACAUAUUUCGUUAGCAUGGUCAAUAAAUCUAUACUUUUCGGUGACAGUAUUUACUAAACCUGUAUUUUGUUCAUUUUGUGUCUCUGAAGCCUUUUAGUCUGUUAUAUAAUAAUGUUGAUCACUUACUAAACAUAGCAUAUUUACCAAUCGUAUUACAGGUCACGAAGGACAUAGUGACUUCUUUUUUCGAUGAAGAUACAUGUGACAUUAUUUUAAAUCAUGCGGGACUGUUUCCUGCAAUUUGGUCAUGGACUGGAAUUAAGGUAGAAGACAGACCUAAAGUAGCAGAGGUAUGUUAGCCAUGUAAUCAAGAAACCCAUAUCAUUAAGUUUCUAAGAAUAUAGUAUGACUGAUCUUUGAUAUUUUGAAGCUUCUUUCAAUGAUGGGUUCUUUGAAUCCUUACUCCUCAGAAAGGACACUGAUGUGGCAAAAGAUUAAGAGGCAACUUUUGCAGGUGAGAAAAUUUAUUAAGGAAUCAUGUAAUUGUUUGGCUGCAAAAUAACUACUGGUGUUUUUGUGGAAGUUAUCAUAGUUUCUUCAGGUAAUAGCCAUGUUCAAAGAAAUUGAUUCUCAGUCAAAAUUAAUUUAUUUGCAAUUUUAAUUCUUUUCUAGGAACUGGGUUUAGUUGAACCUAUGGUAAACAACUUGGAGAAGUUGAAUUUAUCAUGUGGAUCUCCAGUUUUUGCACUUCACCAACUAAGGGAAAUUCUACCACAUGGUACUUCUUUCUGUGGUUAAGAUUGCAAUAAUACAUUUACAUGUUAUAGAAGGAAUUUCAUACUCAUCAGUGAAUGAUAAACCUAAUGCAGAUGAGGUUACCUCCAAGGCACUUGAUGAAUUGUCUAAGCUUGUGGAUCGAAUUUCAUGGACGGAAAAUAAUGUUCAUAUAGAUCCAUUAAUGCCAACAACGGAAAGUUAUCAUAGCGGUUGGUUUUUUCAGGUACAAUAAAUUUGUCAUUUACUUUAAAAAAACUAUUACACCUUGCAGUACAAAUUCCAUGCUUGCACUUUGUAAGAAACACUCCUCACUCCCUAAAUUCACCUGUUUUUAUGAUGCGCUUUUACCACCUUUUAAAAUUGUUAUUAUUACUAGUAAAAAAAAAUUGUUAUUAUUACUAGGUAAAUCAUGAAUACUUGUAAAAUAGAAUUAUCCCAAUUAUAUAAACUGUUGUGUAUUUUUUAUUGAUAAUGAACUAGGCACACAAUGCCUUUUGAAUUUUUUGAUGAUUCUGAUGAAGUUGAACUUUGCUUGGAAGGUAUACUUAAAGAAGGAUAUUGAAGGUGACUUGCUAGCUGUUGGUGGUCAAUAUGACGAUUUGCUCCGUCAGUUGCGGAGUAGGGAGGAAUAUGUGGGUUAUGCAUUCAAAUUUAAUUUCUUCUGACUGUCAUUAACAUAGUUUUCUAUCUGAUGUCGGCAUGUUUUCUUUUGUCAGCGAGUUUUAUAUUGUUUCUAAUAGCCAGUCUUUUCUAUUAUGCAGGAAGAAAAUCCUCCUGUUGGUGUGGGGACUAGCCUGAAAUUAGAGACAGUAAUUCAGAAUUACUCCAGAUGGACAGUGCCGAGGAGGGUGAGCUUGUGAGUGCAAUAGCUUCUUUUUCUUCAGAGGAAUAUCAAAAUCUUGCUGACUUGCUUGUUGAAAAGACUUCACUACUAAUUCUCAUCUGGGAUUGGUGAAGAUUUUUGGGAUAUUUUUGCUUCUUUGUGUAUAAUUUCGUCAUUUCUUAUUUCUUGGUCAAAUAAUUUCAUUUCUAGGAAUUUUUGCAUGCUUUUGGUCUUGAAAAAAACUACUAAAAACUCACCUAAAACGAUUUGUAUUCUUGAAGAGUCGGUUAUUUGCUCUCGGCAAACAACGAAGUGUAUACUAAUAAAGUGUUGAGAUGUUUGGGUAAGGAGCCGCAGCCCAAAGUGACGGCUAUUAAAGAAGCCAAUGGCCAUUCAAAAGAAAAAAGAAGCCAAUGACUUGACCACAUCAACAAGAGCUCAUUUCUCUAGGAAAACAUGAUAAAAGGAUAAAGAAAUAUAAGAACACGGAAAAAUUGUCAAAAACAAAUAAUCCGUAUUAAUGCAUAAAUAUAAAUAUAUGAUCCCGUGGAAAUUAUAAUAAAAAAUAGGAUUUGUAUUGAUGUAUGCAUGCGUUGAAAUAUAGGCAACGUAGAAAUUGUAAAAAAUACGACCCUUAUAUUGCCUAUUUUGUUGCACUUCCUAGUACUCCCUCUGGUCCUUUUUCUUUUUAUAAGAAACACUUUGGAAUUUUUAUUUGGUCCUUUUUAUAAGAAACACUUUGACACAAUUUCAUUUGUACCCUUAUUAAAUACAAUCAAAUAAUUCAUUAUAAUGCUAGNNNNNNNNNNNNNNNNNNNNNNNNNNNNNNNNAGUUUUGGAAUAUAACAUAAAAUGAUAGAAUCAUUAAUGAGAAAAUUUACCUUCCUUGGUCUGUGUGAUUUUGUCAAAGUGUUUCUUAUAAUAAGGACCGGAGGGAGUAUUAUUUUGCUUGUAUUUUUGGUCCACGCAUCUGUGGUUUACAAACCUCAUUUCAAGAUAUAUGCCCAAUUCAAAGGCAAUUCUUUUUUGUCGGUCAACAUCACGAAAUUGCAAUAUUUUUUUAUUGAGUAUGUUUUCCUAUGAAGCACGGACACCGCAACACGACACGGUGACACCGUUAAUGUAAAAAAUGUAGGACACCGAUACCGCUACAUAUUUAUAACAGAUAUAAAUUGCGAAUCAAAAUAUAUACAUGUAAAUCUAAGUUGAGCAAAGUUGUUUCUUAAAAGAAAUUUUAAAACAAAAUAUGAUAGUAUUUUACCUUGAUUUAUCCAUCUACUAUCAAAAAAACUAAAAAGAUUGUAAUUCAAAUGUAAUGUCUUCAAUCCCUCAUUGAUCAAUAUUGUUGUUUCGACAUAUCUUUAACUCUUGUAGAUAUGUCUAAUAUGUGCAUAUCCAACACGUGUCGGACACCGAUCAAAUGAGUGUCAAAGUAAAGAAAAAAUUGGGUUUUCUUUGACACUUGUCUGAGCUAUCCAACAAGUGUCAGACGAAUGUCGGAUACCGCGACAUUGCCUAAUCAGAGAGGUGUCCGUGCUUCGUAGAUGUUGUUAAUGGAAAAGAGAAAUAAAUGGCAUCGGGGUUAUCAUGUUUUUCUACAUGUGUUAUGCUAUAUUUUUUAUAAGCAAAACAAUGAUAGAAUGGUUCACUUUGUUAUUAAUUUAACCCAUUUGGGUUGAUCUGGUGGUAUUGGCUUGACCGCUUGAGACAUGAGAAUAUGCUCCUACUUAAAGUUUCGGGUUCGAUUCUCUUUAGUGCCAAUUUGAAUGGGCUAAUUUAGCUUCUUAAAAAAAAACUUUGUUAUUAAUUUUUAAAUUAACAAAAAAUAAUAUCUUAAUAUUUAUACACAUUGAGUAUGUCAACAAAAAAUUUUCAUGAUUACACAUCCAAUAUAUUUUUGCACAUUCCAGAAGCACGGUUAAAAAUGCAACUGCAAAAAAAUAAUAUCUUAAUAUUAAAGUUUUCAUGAUUAACAAAAAAAAAAAAGAAGAGAGAAUAUGUAAUAAAAUCAAAGCACCAAAUAGUCAACUUCAUUAUGGUAAAAUUUACCAUUUAAUUUUAUGCUGCACUGUGUAUUUAUUUUUGUAAAAAAGCAUCUUAUCAAUCUCAUUAUCUUAGUGAAGCAUGGCAAUUUAAUUUGCUGACAUAUCUCAUGAGGAGUAAAUUCUAUGAGUUUAAAUUUUAUAGGGGUGAAAUGGAAGAGUUUUUCAAUAAGAUUAAAAUUCAAAUUUGGCAAUUUUACAUGGACUAAAACCACCUUUUACCCAUUAAAAAAUAGAAACAAUUAUCGAACGUCUCUCAUGAAGUUGGAAUUUAUCAGUAAUUCAUCAAGUUCAAUUGCAACUAUUUUAGUCUUAAUUCAUUCGUUCCAUAGUCUUUUUACACACAUUAGUUUGUAGGAGAGCAACUUGAGUUCUAGAGAACUACAAUAAGUGUGGUACUUACCACCGGCAUUUGCAGAUGAUAUCUUUUUGGAAAAAAUGGUAUAUGAAUUGGUUGAUAUCUAUUGCAAAGAUUAGAUGCCAUCAUAUCUAAGACUCAAAUAUGUCUGUUAUCAACUACAUUAAAUUAUUAACAACAAUAUUUUUUUAUAAUUAAUAAAUUUAAUCUUUCAUGUUGAUUAAUAAAAUGUCAUUGUGCAGAUCUAUGUUCUCAUCAAAACUGUGAGGAACACCAACUGGUACACGUGGCAAAUAAACAGCAUCAAAAGUACACAUGUCAUAACACAAGUAAAUCCAAAACUCAAAUGAAACAUGAAAAAUCCAAAUUCCAAACCAAACAAAGAAAAAGGGAAAGCGAUCAUAUGAAUAAUUUUGAAUUAAUCAACCUUAUCAACAAUGGAGUUAAAUUUCAACCUUAAAAACUCAAGAUGGAUAUCAACAGUAGCAAGCAUAUGGAUUCAAUGCACAAGUGGAUCACUCUACACUUUCUCAAUCUACUCACAAACUCUAAAGUCAACGCAACACUAUGAUCAGUCAACACUCGACAUUGUUUCUGUUUCCAAAGACAUUGGAGUUAACGUUGGUGUUCUGUCUGGUCUAUUAUAUGAUUUCCUUGCCACUAGAACUUCAAUUGGGCCAUGGAUUGUUCAUUUUUUGGGCUCGGCCCAAUGUUUCUUGGGCUAUUUUCUUAUUUGGGCUGCUGUUUCCGGUCUUCUUCCUCCGGUGCCGGUGCCGAUCAUGUGCCUGUUUAUGUUUGUGACGGCUCAUGGUCAGAGUUUCUUUAACACUUCUAAUGUUGUUACUGGUGUUCAUAAUUUCCCUUAUUAUAGUGGAACCAUCAUUGGCAUCUUAAAGGUGUUUUUUUUUCCUCAGAAAUUUUGUUGGGUUUUGAAUAUAAUUGGUGUUUAGUUUACUAAUUACUAUAUAUCACAAAUCACUUUUAUGUUUUUGGUAUAGUUAGAAGCUCUAGUUUUAGUUCAUAUGUUUUAGCUCAACCCACAAUGCCGAAAUUGUUAAGUUGGAACACCUUGUGGUUUGAACUCAGAAUUUUGCAGUUGUGUGUGAGUUUCGGUGGUGUUUGUCAUCUCUAGUUUGAAUGAAUCGUGACAAAUUUAGGAAUUUGAAAUUAAAGAUUGUCAAUUUUAUAUUACAAAAAAUGAAGGAAAGAUUGUCUGUCAAUUCAACAUCUUUGAUGAAUUUGGACUGCGAAAUAGAGCUCAAUAGAAGUCCUAAACAAAUUUUACAACUAAGCAUAUCAUAAAUAUUGUGCCAACUUAGCAUUGUUGACCGUAUAUGAUAGAGAGACUAAUUGAUUGAUGGUCUUCAAUUUCAAGGACUAAUUUGUCAGUAUAAAAAAUUUGAAGACCAAAUUGUCUAUCCUUGCUAUUUCAAACCAACCAUAAUUAGGGUCUUUAACUUUCCACCCCAACAUAUCCCCGUGGUUUAGGUCCGGUACUUUGGACCCUCUAUGGAAUUAAUCAUCGAGUCAGCAAAGAUACUUUUUUUUUUCCUUUUCUUUCUACGAGGUUGGGUUGUCCUCCAAAUGGGCGACUAUAGGAAUUGAACUUUAAGUUCUUUUCUCAAGGGAGAGUCAUGUUAACGACUCUCCCAACACCAUGUUGGUUGUGAUGUUCACACUCUUUUAAGUUUCAUUGAACUAUUCUUUAUUAUUGUUUUCUUAACUAAGCCCUUAGUAGCAUUCUUUAGCAUAUAGCCUUUAAAUUUUUUUGGUGUCUUGCAUUGUGUUGAUGUUUGGGCAUUGGAUUUUUGUUUUGUUAGGGAUUUCUAGGUCUAAGUGGAGCGAUAUUAAUUCAAGUGUAUCGAACAAUAUUCAACAACAACCCUGUGUCAUAUCUGCUGAUGCUAUCACUCUUACCACCUAUCAACACUUCGAUCCUUAUGUGGUUUGUAAGAAUCCACAACACUCAUGAUGCAGUGUCGGAAGAAAAGAAGUAUCUCAACAAAUUUUCUCUGAUGGCUCUAGUUAUUGCUGCAUAUCUUAUGAUUAUUAUAAUCCUAGAGAACAUCUUCACUCUACAAUUGUCGAUCCGCAUAUUUACAUUCAUUCUGCUUAUGAUGCUGUUAGCCUCGCUUCUUUGCAUUGCAUUUAAAGCACACGAAAAGUGCGCUUCUGAUAGCACUUCAGAAAGUUUUCUUACUGAAGGGUCCAACCUAAUUGCAAGAGAAGAUUCUUCCAGAAAUCAACGGACUAUGCGACAAGGAGAGAAUCUGAAUCUUUUCAAAGCAGCGAAAACGUUGAACUUUUGGAUUUUGUUUGUUUCUAUGGCAUGUGGAAUGGGAUCAGGACUCGCAACAGUUAAUAAUAUGAGCCAAAUAGGAGAAUCACUUGGUUAUUCCACCAUUGAGACAGGCUCGUUAGUAGCUUUGUAUAGCAUUUGGAAUUUUCUUGGCCGUUUUGGAGCUGGUUAUGUAUCGGAUUAUUUUUUACACACAAGACGAUGGGCAAGACCUUUAUUUAUGGUGAUCACAUUGAUGAUUAUGAGCAUUGGUCAUGUCGUUAUUGCUUAUGGACUUCCGGGCGCUCUAUAUGUCGGUUCAAUAUUGGUCGGUAUUUGUUACGGCUCUCAGUGGUCGUUAAUGCCUACAAUCACUUCUGAGAUAUUUGGUGUAGAACAUAUGGGAAGCAUAUUCAACACCAUUUCCGUAGCAAGUCCAGUGGGUUCGUAUAUAUUCUCUGUAAGAGUAGUUGGUUAUAUGUAUGAUAAAGAAGCACCGGAAGAAGGAAAUAUAUGUGUUGGGACUCAUUGUUUUAUGUUUCCUUUUCUCAUUAUGGCAUCUGCUACUAUUCUUGGUUCUCUAACAGCUUUGUGUUUGUUUUUGCGGACUAGACGCUUUUAUGAUCAGGUUGUUCUAGGAAGAAUUCAAAAUGUUCUUUGAUGGAACUUGUUUGGGUUCAACAACUUAUCGGUAAUGUAUGUGAUUCUUUCACUUUUUGUGUGUGUGUGGGCAUAUGUACUUGUGUAACUCACUCUACGAAGCACAAACACCAGACAUCAUACUGGCAUGUCGACACUGUAAUAAUAUGAGAAAAUGGAACAAUUUGAAUGUAACAAUGUGUCUCGGUGUUGGACACCUGACACAUCUUUAAUUAGGGCUGAGCAGAAAAACCGAACCAGACGAUUUUUUUUCAGUUGGACCGGUUCACGGGUUGGGAAAAACAGGUCCAGGUGGGUGUACUGUACACGGUCAGGCCCGAUUUUUGUUAAAGUAAAACCGCAACAAAAAUAUCAUUUGAUUCGACGAUCCCCCCAUAUAAUAAUGUAUAAUAUUAAUAAGCAAACCCUAAGUAUAUAUAACAACAUAACCUUGUUGUUGCGCCGUUUCUCACAUAACUCAAACCCUAACUUUUUAAAUGGAUCUGCGUUCUCCUCUCUUCUCAAACUCGGUGACUGCAACUCAAACACAAACACAAACACAAACACAAACUUAAUACCUUAAAUUUCUUUAUCAUCUCACUCAAUCCCUCCAUUCCCCAUCAUCAUCUGUGACUCUCUUAUCUUCCCUUUCCAUCAUCACUAUCAUCUCACAAUCUUUUUGUGCAUUCAUCUUUUGGUAAAACAAUAAAUUAACCCAUUUAAUAAAUGUUUGCUUGCUUUCUCUCUCUGAUUUGGUCUUCUUCCUCUACCUUUCUUCUCUGCCAUAUUUCUGCUUCAACAAAAUCAAUGAAAACCAUUUUUGUUUCUUCACUUCUCAAAAAAAUUCCUUUUUUUCUUCUAGUUGUAACCCGAACCAACCCACUCGAAGACCCGCAAUUUUUUCUUAACCGAACCCGUUCAAACCGAUACAAUUUAUGGGCGGAAUUCGGCCUUAAAAAUGUAUGUUCGGUUUCAUGUAACCCGACUUUUUUGGGCCCUAACCCGCCUAUCUUUAAUAUAAAAUGUCGGUGCUUUAUAGGGUAUGACUGCCCGAGGUUGUAUCCAUUCUAUAGAUACAUAUGAUUCAAGCUAAUAAACCGAAAUAAGCUAUGUGUGAACUAGAGUCAAAUUGAGGUUUAGCUGGAAAAACAUGAACUUCAUUCGAGUGUCUAACUCAAUCACUUGUUAUUUUGUCAAGGUAAAAUGUUAAACUAAAUUAAGUUCGUCUCAACUCAUUUUUAGUUGUUUUAAGCGUCACUUCAUAAGAAUGGUGUGAUUGCUUAAACUCAACAAAUUGUGAUUGAUGCAUGAAACUUAUAUCUUCCACAAUACACUUUAUCUUGCACCUAUCAAACCGAUGCCAAUCUUAUUAAUAUUUUAAGGAAUUAAUUAACAAUACUAGCUCUUUCUUUGUAUUUAUUAUGUUUGGAUUUCGCCGCUAAUUUUUUAAAUUUUUUUUAACAAAUGCAAGAAAAUUAAAAAUUAUAUUGUUUGGUAAGUAAUGUUCUAAUUGUUUAGAGAAUAUUAUUUAUUUAUGCUUAAAAAACAAAGAGAACAUUGUUUAUUGAAACAAAUUACAAAAGUUAUUGGUCUAUACCAUAAUCUAAAAUGAAAAUACAAAAUAUAACUACUAAUUUUAGUUUGAUUUUCUUUUUUGUACCAAUUUGUUCUUAACAAUUUUUUUAAUAUUUUAUUUAAAUGUAAUUAUACAGCCUAAAUAUUGAAUAUGAAAUAUAGAUAAACUUAAAUAAAUAAAAAAUUAUGAAAAUGAAAUAAAUAAAUUAAAAUGAAUAAAACAAAUAUUAUGCAGUAAAAAUAAUAUUUUUUAUGCAAUAAAAAUAAUAUUUUUUAUUUUGUUCAUAUUAUAAAAGUAUUUUCUAAUAGUAUAUUUUAUUUUUAUUAUAAAUAUAAUUGAUAUAUUUUUAACUUUCUUACCAAAAAUUGUUUAUUUAUUUAUUUUUAAAUAUAAAUUUUACGUUUUUCUUUCGUAUAAUAUUUUUUGCUUAAAAAAUAUACAUUUUUAUGUUAGACCUCAUAUUAAUGACCGUUUUAAACCCCACAUUAUGUUGGGUCGGUCCUGUAUUUCCUGUAUCUAUAAUGGAAUCUCCAAAAGUUAUGAGUGCUGGAAUUGUAACAUUUGGUGGUAAUUUCACCAAUGCAUUGGUUCUAUAUGAUAAAACUAACAAAAUGAUGAAACUAAACAUUAAGCUAGUUGAUGAAUUAGGAAACUUCAUCAUUUUGUGCUAGUUGCUAUUUUUUUUACUAAUAAGUUGAGUAUCCAAGGGAUAGCUUCUUCACAUGUAAUUUGCGUAAAUUUAUAGUUUAUAUAUAUAUAAUCUUUAAUUUUUCAUUUGUUAAUUUUUUAUAAAAAAUAAUAGCGGCGAAAUAUCCUCAUGUCAAUCUAGAUACAAAUAGAUUCCACCUAUCAAACCGAUGUGAAUCAAAUAUCCUCGCCACUUUUUCUCGACUUUUCUUAGUUCAAGUAAUUAAUUAACAAUCUUUUAUUGUAUUUUCAAUUGCGAAAAUGCAACAAACUACGGUUUAGCUUUGGUCAUGCAUAUGUAACUUUGAACAACAAUUAGUGAUACUUUUCAUAUUGAUAAAAUUGAUUUCAUGUAGUGACUCAUAAAUAUAACCUAGUUAGUCGGUAGAAAUGAAAAGUUGUUUAAAAAUAAAGACAUUUGUCAUGAAAAAUUGAUUGAAGACGUGAAAAGAUGUUCAUGGAUUUGGUUGAAGCCUAAAUCAAACACCAUUGACUAUAAUUUUGAUGUUCUUGUAGAGUUGAGGUGUUUGCAUUGGCCUUGGGAUAUAUUUGGGUGAAGCUUCUAUGGUUGCUGCUUUCAUGUCUUGUAAAUAGUACUGCUUCUUGUAAUGACAUUCCUUAUGCCGCUGGCACUGUUUUUAUUAAUAUAAUUUUUUCUUUGCCUCUUCAAAAAAUUAAAUGGAAUGGUUCGAAUUAGAAUCCAAACUCCGCAUUUAUCUAUAUUUUAAAAUGCGAGUCUACCUGAAUACAAAAAAUUAAAAUAAAGAACUUCAUUUCCUAAACAAAACAAGUGUCAUUUAACAAAAUAUAUUUUAUUUUAUUGAUCAAAUGAUAAUUUAUUUAUUUUUGUUUUGACGAAAUAUGUCAUCUAUCAAAAAUGAUAAUUUUUACUUAUGUCAUUAAACCUAUUAAUUUCAAAAUUAUAAGUUGAACUAAAAAUUAUGAAAAAUUGGAACUUUAUUCUCGUGUUUAUUCUCUGAAAUGUUAAGUUUAUUAAACAAGUGACGUAAAGAAUCUAUCAAUUAUUUGGUAGUCUAUAAUAUAAAUUAUAUAUAUUAAUUAUUCGAUUAAAUAUGGAGAAAUAAAGAAUUUAUAUUUGAUAUAAAACAAAAAGAAUUUAUAUUCAAACUCGACACCUCUUCUGAUUAAUCCAAUGACUGAUAUUGUAAAGAAAAAUAAAAUGUUUUAGAGAAAGAAACAACAACAGAGAUCCUACGGUUACAAUUAGUGCAAGACAGAUAACAGGAGACGAUCAACGAGAGAGAAUCGAAAUCUCAAUAAUAUCGAGUUAGUUAUCAAUUGAACUAUAUUCAUGGGGACGGGAAAAAUGUUAUAGUAAUCAAUCGGCAUUGAAAGGAAAAGAAAAAAUAGAAAAAUAGUAUAGAAGACGCGGUUACGAACCAUACUUGUCUGUGGCUAUUGUUAUCUUCCUCCUCCGCUUCACAUCAACUUUUCUCAAUUCUCAUUCCCAAAAUCCCAAUUCAAUGUAUUAGGGUUUUCAUUCUUCAUAUUUUCUCUUCAAUUUCUUCAAUCAUCAUCCCUAAAUACCUUCAUUCCAAUUCAAAUAAACCACGCGAUCGCAUUUUAUUUCAUUUCAUAUUCCAUAUAUAUACACUGCGAUCGGUACGUUUCUUUCUUCUUUCACGCAUUCAGUGAUUUCAAAGAUUAAACGUUUCGGUUUUUGUUUUGUGAAGAUACUUUUAAUUAUUUUUUUUUUAUGAUAAAGAUGCUUUUAAUUUAAUCUAUAGUUUAAUUGAAAUGAUGAUAAGAAUAUUCAUUGAUUUUAGUAGUUACUGUUAUUCAAAGAUUGUAACUUGCUUGUUAUUUUGUUAUUAUUAAUUAAUUAUAGUUGGUAACUGAAGUGUUGAGAGUUGAUUGAAUUUAAUAAACAAACCGGUUAUUAUAGGUUAUUAUCGAUUAGUGUACCAGUGAUUUAUGAAUUGCUGAUAUUAAUAAUUUAAUUACAAUUCGGUUGGUUUGGUUUGGUGGAUCUAUGGUAAUGUUGCUUGCUUGAUACUUUUUAUUUACAUUGCUUGGUAGAUACAUUUCGAAUUUAGGAUGGACCGUUUUUGGGGUUGUGGGUGAAACUUGGGUAUGUAGAUAGGGUAUGAAGCAUUUCUUUCUUUUUAUGUUGUUACGAAACUCACAUGUUAUGUCGAAGAGGGGUAUUGUGGUUCGAGCCUGCAGCCCAAUAUAUCAAAUAUCAUCGUUGCACAAUGCUCAUAGCUUUUAACCAUGUGAGCUGCACUUGCGGGACAAUGGCAUGAUGCAUUUCUUAUCAUGUAUUCAUGUUGAUUAAUUUCAGAUGUUUUGGCUGAGAGGAAGGAAGGAGUGUUAUGGGUAUCAAUGUGUGUUUUUAUGUCAAUAAGCUUUUUAGUAUCUUUGUUUGGUGUAGAACGUUUGGAUUUUCCAUGGGAAGUUGUUACCUUUUUAGAAUUGAUUUGGGAUUAGGAUCACUUUCAUUAGUUUUAUGUAUUUGACUUUGGAUGUGGACUUCUAUUUUAUGAUCAUGAUGUCCUUUUCUGCAAGGAAUAUCUCAUAAUCAAAUUACCUGCAUUUCUUCUUUCUUUCAAUGAAUAUUCUUGCUUUGUCCAUAAGAAAGUCACAAUCAGUAACUUAGUGGCAUUGCCUAUUUGUCACACAAUUGACAUGUUUUUGAAUUGUUAUGUCUCUUUUCCUCCAUGUAUUUAACUUCUGUGAUAGUUUUUGUUAUCCUUAACAUGUAAGUCAUUUUUCAAAAAAAAUCCAGUUGGGUUCAUCUCUGGCUUUUAAUUUUUUGACAUCUAGGUUCAAUCUUGUAAUUUUCAUAUAACAGGUGAGUGGAGAGAAAGGUGCAAAGCACAAACUUCAAGAUAUUUCUCAUUAAAGAGAUAGUGUCACAAUGUUGGCUUCCAAAGAAAUUAUGAAAUUCAAAUCAUACCAGAACCAGGCUAAUUUGUUUGUGAAGGAAUAUUUAUUAGCAGACCCUCUGAUUCCAUAUACUUCCAUUAUUGGUGGCAUUUUUGCUUGCAAGUUGGUAUGUUGUAUUGUACUGUGUUGGUUUUCUAUUUUCUGUAUUAUUUUUUUCUAAGAGAAUUUAAGGUUACUAUAAUUUAUCAUUUGUUAAUGAGGAGGGAUCCAUUGACUCUAAGAGUAAGUUUAUUGAGUUACUCCAAAUCACGGCCAUCCGUUUCGCUUCAAUCUAAUGGUCUCAAGUUAAUUAUUAAUUAUCUCAUGUGAACCCUAAAUUAUGCUAUCCCAAACUAUUUCUCUACUAUCCCUCGUUUUGCUUUCUACCAUUGAAGAAAAAUCCAACUCUCUCCCAUGUAUUGUUUUACUCUUUCUAAUUUUUUGGAGGCUAUCACUUGUUUCAAUAACUAUUGAUGAAUUCUAGUAUUGACCUUUACAUUAUAAUUUUUUUAGAGGCUAUCCCUUGUUUUCUUUAAUCGAUUAUUCUAAAAGAAAAGUGGAAGAAAUAUUUUUACCUUUUUAGGGAUGGGAACGAUGGACUGUGGCAACAACCUUGAGAGAAUUAUAGAGACGUGUGGCUUUGGUAGUGUGCCAGUACUCCAACUCCAAAGCCUUUUCUUAUUUGAAUGCAAGCAAGUGAAUAUAUGUAAGGAUUUAGGAGGAAGAAGAGACUCAAAAGAGGACCAAGUGAAUAUAUGGGAUAGUAUAAUUUAGGGUUUACAUCAGAUGAUUAAUAAUUAAUUUGGAUCAUUAGAUUAAAAUAAAAUGGAUGGUUGUGAUCUGGACUCUGGAGUAACUCGAUAAACUUACUCUUGGAGUCAACGGAUCUCUCCUCUUUGUUAAUUGCUAUUACUUAUUAUAUCUUACAUAUAUGUCUAAAUAUUCUAUUUUGGCAGGUCUAUGAUCUGACUCAGCUUUUUAGCACUACUCAUUUUAAGAGCUAUUCCAGUCUCACUAAAAUCCAACGUAUUGAGUGGAACAACCGGUGACUGGAUUUUUUCAUUUAGUAAAAGAUCUCUUCUUUUGUUUCGGAUGAGAUAUAUGUUAAUGAUUUAUUUUUCUAUUUUGUGUGCAGUGCUAUGUCAACUAUCCAUGCCGUUUUUAUAACAACUAUGUCUUUAUACUUGGUGUUUUGCUCAAAUCUAUAUUCUGAUAGCCACUCAGUUGAACUUCUUACAGAACGGAGUUCUGCGUUGUCUACGUUUGCUUUGGGGGUAAGAAUCGUUGUGGCAUUUUUUUGUUUUGUUUUCCUUUUCUUAACAUCUUUGCAAGUCACAAUUUUGUAAACAAUAGUAAUCAGUAAUCACAUAUAAUGAGGAGGAGAUUUCAACAGUCGAAGUUAUGAGUUUCAGAUAAAUAAAGGGGAUAAUAAUAAGAAUAAAUGUGACCAUGGUGAAAUGUCAUUCAUAAUCAACUUGAUGAUGCCAAUAGUAAUAAUAAAUGUAAACAAUAGUAAUAAUAAGAAUAAAUGUGACCAUGGUGAAAUGUCAUUCAUAAUCAACUAAAUAAAUAUGGAAAUUGGGAAAUGAAUCAUAAUAAUAACCAAAGUAAUAUGAAAACUAAUUCUAAGAGAUAAUCUAAGAUACUCUAAGAUUAUAAACUAAACUUAGGAGAUAAACUAAGACAAUCUAAUAUAAUAACAUACAUAUUAUAAGAUAUUUUAUUAUAUUGUAGCACUCCCCCUCAAGUUAAAGCUAACUAAACUUUAAGUUUGUUACAAAUAUAUCAUUUGAAAGAGAAAAUUUAACACCUGACAUAAUUAGACCCAAAAAGAUAUCUUGGAUAAACCAACUAAGAACGGCAAAAUAAUCCACCAAUAAGGUUCACGUUGAAGAACAAACCAGGAUAAUAUAAUGUGAAUCAUGUGGAUCCAGAACGUGUGAUUAAUGAAAUUAACUUACUGGUUAGGUGUUCUUGAUUGAAUGGCUUAGAAUGACAGGUUGUCGUCACUUUUUUAUUGUAUUGGUCUCUCAUUGUAGUUUGUAAAAGCAAUGUCAAAUGUUAUUAUAAAUGUAUCAUAUUACUUUUAUUCCUGUGUAUGAUCUUAAGGUCAUAUAAUGACAUGCUUAAAUAGUAGUAGUUCGCAUCAUCUUGGUGUCCAUAUUUUCUGCUAAAAUUUCCUUCUCUAGUAACUUUUUCUAGAUGUUGUUAGUAAUUGUUUAAAUCAAAUAUGGACUUGUCACUGCCUUCAUUUUUCUGAUAGAGCCACUGUAUAAAAACAUAACUAACAUGUAAGGAAUUGUAGCUCAUAUUUUUUUACUAGAAACACAUCUUUCUUUUCUUCUGGUCAUGAAGUCUAUAUUACUUACGUUUUGUUUUAUUUAUGGUGACAGGUUUCUGUUGGUUACUUCAUGGCUGACCUGGGGAUGAUAUUUUGGUAUUUUCCUUCUCUUGGUGGAUAUGAGUAUGUAAGGAUCAUAUCUUUUGACGUUCAUAAUUUAUCUAGCUGAAGACUCUUUCGAAUUUAAGAUUGUUCACUUGAUCAAAACCUAGCUGGAGAUGAUUUAACGUGACUUCAUAUUAACAUUGAUUCAGGUGAUUCAUCAUCUGCUUUCUUUAGUAGCAGUAGCCUAUUCAAUGUUGAGUGGAGAAGGGCAGCUGUACACCUACAUGGUCCUCAUCUCCGAGACAACAACUCCCGGAGUCAAUUUGAGAUGGUAAUCUUGCACUUAAAUUUGAACUCCGAUAUGUCAUGAAUUUUUUUAAUUUGUUGAUGAUAUCCAUAUUUUGUUUGUGAAGGUAUCUUGAUGUAGCUGGAAUGAAAAGGUCAAAAGCGUAUCUCAUCAAUGGGGUUGUAAUAUUCAUUGCUUGGCUGGUAGGUCAAGUCAUUACAGUUUAAAAUAUAUUUUUUUCACCCAUUGUGAAUCAGAUUUCGUGUUGAAUUCCCAUUCUUAUCUUCUGGGACAUGCUUACCGAAAUGUGGUCCGUCUGCAGGUUGCNNNNNNNNNNNNNNNNNNNNNNNNNNNNNNNNNNUGUUAAUGUAGCUACAUAUUUGCUUCCAUGAUAAUUGGCCCAGAACUUAGAUCCAUUUGUUGCUUACAAGAUCACUUUCUCAAUAUCUAUUUAUAAGUAUGAUGUACCGUAGGGGAGUAAUUUGUGGUUUUCGUGUGGGGAAAAAGGUGGGAUUUUGUCCAAAAAAAAUUAGGUGCAGGGGCCGGUAUUUAAGUGUAGUAGUACGUUUUUCCAUUUGGUUUAUUUUGAGAUGUGUUAGGAGUGAGCAGGUCACACAACUAUAUACUUUGAUCACACAACUAUUUGUAUAGGUUUUCUAUCUAUAUUAAAGAAAAAUGUGUAGUCAAUUUUUUUUAACAUGUUUGUGAUAGAUAUUGUAGUCUUGUUUGGGAAUCUGGACAAUGCUUCAUUUCUUUUGUAAUUUCUCUUCAAGCAAAGUCUGCAUGGUUAAAUCCUGGAUCUCAUGCCAGUAUUCAAUUAUUUAACAGGUUCAGCAGAUGCACACCUUUGGACAAAUACUAGUUGUUGUUGUGCCGGUGGUGCUGUCAGUUAUGAACUUGAUUUGGUUUUCAAAGAUUAUCAAAGGUCUAAUGAAGACAUUGGCGAAGAGGCAGUGAAAUUUUUGAGGAAAAUUAAAUAUAGAUUACAUUGUUGAUAUCAAGGUCACCUUGCCUCUGUGUCCUCUCCUUCUGGGUAAAAACAUAGAUGGUGUGUACUGAAAGAUGUGAUAGAGCAGAAAAGAACAUGUUUGGAUCCAUUUUAGAUCUGAACUUAUAUUGUAUAAAUAUGUUAGUUCUGUUUUACAAUAACCCUAUUCUUUAUGUACAUUUAUUAGUUCAAUUUAAUCUUUAUUCUGUAUCUACAUCUAUGCAAUCCAAUAUUUGUCAAGUCACAUUAUGAGGUAAGGUUGCACUAUCCGAAACACUAACCCUUUACUACUAUUAUUUCUUACGUUAAGAAACCAUUUGAUAUCUUCAAAGCAUAAUUGUACAAAUUCAACUAAACAUAGGAAGAUUCAUCCACUGGUUUCAGCCACCCAUUGCAUUUGGUUCAAGCCCCUUGCCACCGAUGAGAACAUUACGAACACGUAAAGCUGCCCAGUGAUCGUCAUGGGCACAAUGAAGUCGACCUCAUUUGAAUGUGUGCACAUUUUUAGUUAGCAAAUGCUUCAAUUGUAUUGUUCCGUUUAUUGCCUAUAAUGUUGAAGAGCAUAUGUGCCCAGUUGCAUUUGCCUCAAAAUUGAAUUAGAGCUUGAAGUGGUUUUGAUUCUCUGAACUAUCACUAUAAGAAAAAGGAUUGGACUAUCACUAAAGAUUAACAACACUAAAUAUAUUGUUAGAAACUCCUAACCUUUAACCAUUUCAUAUAUUCACUUGGAUAUUUCCUAUGUCUUCAACAUCCAUGAAAUCUUCUAGCCUAUAAUUUUUUGUAAUCCAAUCUUGAUGUUUCUUGGUGAAGACGAUUAUUUGGAAAUUUCAUUUCACAUUCUAAUUAUUUGGUUGAAAUGACAGUCAAACUAAUGGAUGCACAUUUUCACUUGUCAUAAAAUUGAGUAGGGUAUUUUCACUUGUCACUAGUUCGCAAAUACUACACAAACUCACAUUUACACAUGUCCACAUAUUCACAAUUUCUUAUUUACACAACCUGUUUUCACAAGUUCAUCUAUUAUUUUAUUUUUUUUGACAAAAAAGUUCAUCUAUUAUUAUAUUGUCAAAAAAAAAAGUUCAUCUUUUAUUAUGACAUUUAAUCAUGUAAUAAUCAUUUUGUCAAAAAAAAAAAAUCAUGUAAUAAUCAUAACAUGUUUUCACACGCAAUGUAACUGCUAUUUCAGGUGUUCCUUUUGUGGAUGUAAUGGUUAGAAAUGUGUUGGAUGUAAUGGUUGACUCUAUGGCGAUUGAUGAUGGUAACAUGCAUGGUAAAUAUGCUGAAUCAAUUUUGGGUGGUUGAUGUUCCAUCCAAAAUUAGUAUAUUUGAGUGGAGAGACUCCUUCGUGUAUAAAUUUGGUAAGAAAAGGUAUCAUCAUUUAUUUUUUACUUGCACUUACAAGUGUGGAUGAAAGUUUUUCAAUGGUGGAACGUGGAGUUUAUACCCUUUGAGGAAGGUUGGAUUCAUUCUAAAAACUUUGGAGAUCCGUUGAAGAGAAAGAAAUGUGAAAAAAAACUCGCCACUUAAUUUGCCUAGCUAUCAAGUGGAGUCUAUGGUUUGGACAUAAUCAUAUCAUAUUUAGAGGCGAAGCAAUUAAUUUGUCCUCCGUUGUCGAUCAAAUUAUUUAUAUUUCUUAGUUUUGGUUUAUAGGGCAUAUAAGAAAUAUUUCAUCUUUUGUAUUCUCUGAUUGGUGUAAUAUAUGAUUCAUUAGUACGCCUUUAAAGCAUAUAAUGGUACUUUGAAUUGUAUAAGUAUUGAGUACACAUUGUAUUCCUUAUAAUUCAAUUUUGUUAAAUAAAAAAAUCAUUAAAACCGACCAUUGUCCAUCGUUGUCGUAACGUGUUUUUUUUUCUUAACUUCCAUUAUUAACCUUUUAACUUUUUUCAAAUUGUCCUUUUAUUUUUUUUAUGGAAGAUUUUUUUAGUUAGGGACAUUUUGAUACUUUCAAAAAUAAUAAAUAUUACAUUCUUCUCUCUUUUUUCUAUCUUUUUCUUAUGCCAAUCAACAUGACCGACCUCGAGUAUUUGGAGGCUUUUCCUGAAUAUUAAAAAUGAAACCUUAAUAAAAAAAAAAUACAAUUUUUUUAGAAAGAGUCAUUCUCAACCAUUAUCAACUUUCUAGUAAUGUUUCUUCUUUUUUACAAUCAACCACAAGUUACUUAUAAAAUUAAGAAUGCAUCUAUUAAAUUUUCUUUGUUCGAGUAAUAAAAUAUUUUUAGUAAUAACAAAUUAUUAAUUUUGUUUACAUAUAUAAAAAUUUAAUAGACCAAUAUUAAAAAAAAUAGAGGCCCCUAAAUGUUUGAGGCCGUGCGCGGUGACACACCAUGCACACCCACUAUGCCAACCCUAUCAAUCAAUACAUCAAAUAUGCCCUAUUUCUCAUGUUCUUAUACUCUCACUUAUUUUUUCCUUAUCAUUUUCAUUUUGCAACCAAACACACUCUAUAUCAUAUUCCCUCCGGUCACUAUUAUAAGCAAAAAAAAAAAAUUACUUUUUAGAUUCAUUGGAAAACUAAUAUAUCUGAUAUAUAUUAUGGACCAGAUACAUCAAUUUUCUAAUGAAUUUUUUAAUGAAUUUAAAAAGUUAUUUUUUCUUAUAAUGAUGACUUAAGGGAGUAAGUGUUUUGAAUAUAAGUAUUUCUUUUCUAUUUUUAUCUAUAUUAAUACAAGAUAUAGGUAUAAGAUGGGAGUGUUUAGGCAUACCAACUUAGUUGGUAUGUCUAUUCAAUCUUUGAUGCCUAGAUGCUCUUAACUUAUUAAAAAAAAAUAUAUAAGUAUGUUUUAGACAAAAUUCAAUGCAUGUCAUAUUUUAUACUAAAAUAAUUAAAUUCAAUUUUUUAAUAAAUUUUUACCUAAUAGAUGACCGGUACCCAAUAAUUUACCUACAAUUUUUUGUAUUCAUUAAGUGUCAUUUUCCUUAUAUCCAUUUAAGGAGAAUUUGUAAUAAACAUUUUCCAACGUAGGACUAUUUUUUAUAUUCUUUGGUAAAAGUCAAUUGGUCUUUGUUUUCUGUUCUACUUACCAAAACAUGCUUAAAAAUAAUAUAUAUUUUUGGUCAAAAAAAUAAAAUUAUUUACUAACUAAUAUUUAAUAAUAUUCUAUUUAUAUAUUUAAAUUCCUUGUUCCAUGAACUUAUCUCAAUUGGUAAGAACGUCACACUUUAUACACAAAAAUCGAGAUUCGAACACUGGUAAAUUUUCUACCUACUAUACGUACUAUUUUGACUAACAAAUAGUAAAUACUUUAAAAAAAUUGUAGAAAAUUCACCUCAAUUUAAGGUAAAAAAGUCGAGUGAUAUCUCUACCAACUGAGUUAAUCUCACGGGGACUAAACCAUUUUUUAUUCGAAGGAAACAAAUACGCAUUUAAUUGUUUGUGUUAGAUUCAUUUGAUCACCGAUGGUAAAAAUAGCAUGUCUAGAAAAAUAAAAUCAAAAAAUAAUUUUUUUAUCUUAUGAAUUAUGUUUUGAGGAAUACGUAAUACAGAAAAGAAAAAAAUAAAAUAAAAAACUUCCUUUUUUCAUUUUAUUUCUAGGAGUAAUUUGGGAUGCAUAGAAAUUAAAGCAAUGUAUGUAGAUAACAGAAAAAUAAUGAUUCCUUCUCGAGCAUAACAAAUUAGCAUACUCUUUUUUUAUGACAUAACAAACAAACUAUAUCUUGAAUGUCUUGAAUGGAAGGUCUGUCAUAUAAAUAAAUUAACAUGAAAAUUAGAAUGGAGUAAGUAAUUUUGAACAAUAUUAAUCUAUUUACAACAUUUUCUUUUUAAUACACUUGAGUGUUAUAAAUUUGUAAUAAUAAGGUAAAAAUCCAAAUCCCCUUAGGGAUGGUUUUAAGAUGCUCAUUAGUGUCAACAAAAAAUUUAAUAAAAAACUACAUACAUUGAAUAUCAUAAUAAGGCAAUAUGUUAACAAACUCGCAAUAUUCAAAUUAAUAUCAUAAUAAGGUAAAAUGUCUACAAAUAAUAUGAUAAAAUCAUAUUGAUCGAAAUAUCAAUGAAUUUGGAUCUACAACAUUGACGGCCAAGUCAUUGAUUGAAUCAAUAAUUGAUCAAACUUGAAUUAUUAUCAUUCUAAACCAAAUGAACACCGUGUUAUAUGUAAAAUUUGAAUUUUCAAAUUGGAGUAAAGGGGACUCGAAAGACACGGUUUUAGUUGGCAUAUGAACAAUUUUGAUACACUGUGCAAAGGCGGUUAAAACGAGCUUCCCACUUAAUUUUGAAGUUCAAAUUCAAAGUAUCUAAAACGAUAAAAGCAAACGAUUUUUAAUGAUAGACAUGCAGAACUGAAAACCAGUUUCUUAGAUUCUCUAUAAAUAGAAAGCUCUAGAUUAGAAUUAGCUAGAGGACUUCAUUUCUGAUAGAGAAAAUUAUUUGUCUAAUACAAAAACAUAAUCUACACACAAACAUACGAAAUUGGAUAUAUCGCAAACAUGUUAACUAAGAACUCAACAAAGAUCUAAAUCUAAUUCAAGACAUAGUUGCUUAUAAACUUUUAUUUUCCUUAUUUUUUUACUAUUUUAUUUUAUGUAUUUUAAUCUUGAAAUAAUAUUGACGCGAUGAUAAUUAGUUUCAAAUUAAAAUUUUAAUUACAACAAUUUCGACAGUGUACCCAAGACGUACACUGUUUUGUUCAAACAAUAUUAUGACAGCGUAGAAUGGUAAAAUGAGAUUUGACCUAAUAAAUCAUAUAUUAUAUAGCGAAUGUGAUGAAUAAUUAAGUUUUUACAAUUUUUUCAUAUCAUAUGUUUGACCAACUUUCUGACGUGUAUUGAAUUACGCUCUAUGAUUCUCAUUUUACUUUCUUUUUAUAUUAAUUUUAAACCAUUUUCUUUAUUAUAAAUAAGGCUUAGGACUAUGACAUUUUUAUUUUAUAGCCACCUAGUCUCUUCUGAAUUUUCUUGAGCUUUUUUCAGAGAAGUAUUUUUCAUAACAAUGGUGAAUAAUUUGUGGGCUUUUCGUAGAGAAAUGUUGACUCAAAACAAUGAGAGUGACAAUCAAAACCCCAAUAACCAUCAAUCACCAAAUGACCACUCCACAACAUCACAAGCCAUGUCACCGAGACCCCAAAAUCAUCUCAUGGGUGUCAACAAUUUCACUCAAGGUAUAUCAACCUUAUUUUUAAUGUUUUUUAAUGUUCUUUUUUUUAAAAAAAAAAAAAUUGUCAUGUCUUAACAUAAGAUUUUGUGUUGAAAGAAAAUUUCACUUUAAAUUAUUAUUAUUAUUAUUAUUUUAAAUUAAUAUUUAUCUCACACAUGUUAAAUGCAGGGAGGCGCCAAAAUAAUAUUGCUGCAACUAUGCCGAUAUCGUCUUCUUCAUUGUCUAGAAAUAACACUCCUAUCAUUCCUUCUUAUCGUGCAAGCUCAGCUCGAAAUGCUCAAACAUUGCCUUUGGAUCUGCCAAAUCCACAGAUGAGUUCUCGCAACAACACUCCUAUCAUUCCUUCUUAUCGUGCAAGCUCAGCUCGGUAUGGCCAAACACUGCCUUUGGAUCUGUCAAAGCCGCAGAUGAGUUCACCCAACACUCCUGCCAUUCCAUCUUAUCGUGCAAGCUUAGCUCGAUAUGGUCAAGCAUUGCCUUUAGAUCUGUCAAAGCCGCAUAUGAGUUCACCCAACACUCCUAUCAUUCCUUCUUAUCGUGCAAGCUUAUCUCGAUAUGGUCAAACAUUGCCUUUGGAUCUGCCAAAGCCGCAUAUGAGUUCAUCUAACACUCCUAUCAUUCCUUCUUAUCGUGCAAACUUAGCUCAAAACACCUCGUCUAGUUGUCUUGGUUCCCAAGAUUUUGCUGAUGGUUUUCGAAAUCAUUCGAAACCAAAUUUGCAUAAUCAAAAGAACUUCCGAUAUCAUUCUGGUGAAGAGGGUUCUAAUGAUUUUGACCCUCUUUCAAUGGUUGAUAUUAAUAGUUUUCGCAAUUUGCAUAAUUAUGUUGCUCCAAUUGCAACUCCUCCUAUUCGCCCUUCUGGCAAUGCUAAUUUGGGUUCAACUCGUGAGAGUAUCAUUCCUUCUUAUCGUGCAAACUUAGCUCGAAAUUCCUCAUCCAGUUGUCUUGGUUCCCAAGGUCUUGCAAGUAGUUUUCGAAAACCAUCGAAACCAAAUUUGCAUAACCAAAAGAAAUUUCGAUAUCAUCCUUAUAGGGAGGGAUCCGAUCAAAAGAAUAACUCUUUGGUGUUCAAUGAUUUUGAUCCUCUUUCGAGGGUUGAUAUGAAUAGCUUUCGGAAUUUGAAAAACUAUGUUCCUCCAAUUGCAACUACUCGUCCAAUUUGUCCUUCUGUCGGUGCUAAUUUGGAAUUAACUCGUGAGAGAACAACGGAGCAUCACAAUUUGAAUAACAUUGUAGCUCCAAUUGCAACUCCUCCUCCUCCUCCAGUUCAUCCUUCUGGUAAUGCUAAUUUGGAUCUAACUCGUGAGACAACAACGGAACAUUGCAUGCUCGACAUUCAAAACACUAUUGCUUGGAAAAGGCUAACAGCUUCCCCCGAUGGUUGUCAUGAAGAAAUACAAACUCCAAAAGAAGAGCUGCUUCUUUUCAAGGAUGACAAGAAUACAUUUGCUACCAGCUCAGUGAUUGAAAGUGGUCCUGCAGAUGCAAAUGAUGAUAAGGGAUUAGAUCUCACUCUUUCACUUUCACUUUAAAUGGUGAUUGAAAAUCUUUUGUUAUUUUAGUUUAAUGAAUUGUUACUUUCGUUUUUCAUAAUAAAAUUUAGAUAUGCAUGUUGCAAACUCUAAUCAGAGAAGUUUAAUUUGUUUGUUGUAUUUGUUGUUUUUCUUACCGCAUGGUAUAAUGAAUGAGUUUAAAAUACAUUUGGUCUUUUUGUUUUUUCUUCAUAAACUCUCAACUCUUGAUAUCCAAAUUGAUAAUAUAACAAACAAAUUAGCUAUGACUUUUUCUAGCUAUGAUAAUAUCCAAAUUGAUAAUAUAACAAGACAAAUAUAGACUAGAUAAAUUAAACAAUGUAUCUAAAUUUUUAUUUUUUUUUUUUUAUAAUUAAGACUUGAGGGAAUAGAUAAAAUGAAAAAUGGUCUUCAGGAAUUUAUUCAUUUGAUAAAGACAUCACUUUUUAUAUGUAUGAGUCGAAGUUCAAACCUCAAGCACUUCGCUUAUUAGAGUGAAAUUCUAACCAUUGAACUACUUGAUAAAAAAAAUAACAACAAAUUAAUAGUCCCGUCAAACAUAUGAAUUAAUAAUAUAUAGAUUUUCUAUUUUGUGGUCUGAUAAUAAUAGUAUAUGGAUUUUCUGCCAAAAUAAAAUAAUAGUAUAUGGAUUUAUAAAGUGAUAACAGAAAUUAAUAGUCAAGUCAAAAAAAAAAAACACAAAUUAAUAGUAAAUUUUCUAAAGUUGAUGAAUGUAAUAAAUAAUUUACAUUGUUCAAUGCUUUUUAAUAAAGUAAAUUAUUAUGAUAAAUAUAUAAUAUAUUGAAAGAUAGUCAAUGGGCGUUAAUUAUUUACUUAAAGUAUAUAAUUUAAUUAUGGUUUAUAAAUAAUAUAUUAUAAUCUUAAAUGUUAAAAAAUUGAUUUAUAGAGCUUAAAAUAAACUUAAUAAUAUUUUCAUAUACAAUUUCAUUUUUAUAGGAAAUUUUUUAAUAUAAAUAAUAUUGAAAAUGCAUUAUCAAAAUUAUCCUUUAAAAAAACAUUCUCAAAAUUAUACACAAAUUUACUAAUUUUCAAUUCUUUUGUUGCAAAAUUCCAAGUCCAAAAAUGUUAUAUAUAGUGUAAUGAUCAUAUUAAAAUUUAUUUCCAAAUCAAUUUUUUUAAACAAAUUAAAUUAAUAUUUGUGAAAAUAUAUUAUUCUGUCGUAUUUAACAUUCCAAUAUAAUUCUGUCAAAAAAAAAAUUCCAAUAUAAAUCAUUCAAAAAAUAAAACAUUCCAAUAUAAAAAAUUUACCUUAAUUGUAAAUACUACUAUAAAUUAUUUAUUUUUACUUUUAAUUGUUUUUAUUCUAAAAUUACAUUAUCCAUCUUCUCCAUAAGCUUCACCAUAUCCUCUAUUAGAUGGUUUUGAUCUUCCAUGACAUCUUCAGCCUUGUCCAUAAGUUUUCCCAAUACCUCAUUAUGUUCUUCUAUAACCUUUGUUUCUUGUUUAUAUGUUACUAUUAUUUCAUCAACCUUUGCCAACAAUUCACCAUCGACCUUCAAUGCUUAAAUGUUAAGUCCAACAUCAUAUGUACAUCCCACAAGUCAUUUUGGCAAAAAUAUACCAUGAGCUUCAUCACACCAAAAAAUAGUCACACCCAACAACUGUAUUACGUUACAAAAAAUCAUUUAGCCACAUUCGCAAAAGUUGGAGACUAACUUGAUCAUUUGAAAGAGUGAAGAAGGCGACAAAAGGUUGAAAUGAUGAGUUGUUUGUCCAAAGGGUUAGGCAAACAACACAAAAAUAUCUCGAUUUGGUCCCCCAUAUUUGCUGACAUGUUAAUUUGGAUAUCUUUUGCACUUCCAACAAAAUGUUUCAAUUCAGUCAUUGAAAUUUGUCACGUGUGCGUUAGUGUGUCAUGUCAGCACAGUAACUCUGUUAAUUAACUGGAAAUGACAGACGGACUAACUUGAUUGACGUUUUGAACUAUGUUGAAAUCCGUAUAACAAUUUUCCUCUCAGAUAUGCAGUAAGGAACUGAAAAAUUAUUAUCUUAUGCAAAACAUGAAACCCUAAAUUAUAUUUCUCCUUUGCGAGCCACCACCCAUUCUUCUUAUUUCAUUUUGAAAAGAAAAAAAAUGGAAUAAGAAUAGAAGACAAGAAUGGAUCAAUAAAGGUUGAAGAAGACACUCGUUUUUAAAAACACAAUUUUGUGUGAAUUUCGUCCAUCAUUUUUUGUCCACGUGUAUAUGAACGGUUGGAGACUGACAACAUUUCAAUUCAGUCAUUGAGAUUUGUCACGUGUGCGUACGUAUCAUGUUAACACAGUUAACUCUAUUAACCAAUUGGGGAUGAGAGAGGGAUUAAGUUGAUUGAUGUUUUUGAAAACUAAAGGACUAAUGUGAAAUUUUGUUAAUUUGGGGGAGUAAAUUGCUAAUUUUGCAAAAGUCAAGAACCAAGUUGGACAUUUUUUGUGUUAGAUGGAGUGGUAAUCCACCGGAAUUAAACUCAUAUAUAAUUGUGAGAUACUUGGUUCGAACCCGGGUCACGACGUCCAACUUAACAAUUUCAGCAUUUUUGUCAGUUGAGCUAGACCUUCUGGGACAGAACCAAGUUGGACAUUUACACAAUUAAAAAUUGAUUAGCCAUAAAAACAUAAGCGAACAUAGGACAUGACAUACGUUUUUACGGAUAAAGAAAUUUUACACACUCGAUCAAUUACAAUUAUGUUUUCCGUUACGUCACGCCACUUAACCUCACUGUCUUAAUAUGACAUGAAAGGUUAAAACAUUCUUAUUAAUUGAGUAUGUAAAUUUUUUUUACUCCAUCUAUCUAUCUGUUUAUAUCCGGUAAACUCAAUAAUUUUAAAAAAAUAACAUAAUAUGUAGGGAAAAAAAUAAUAAUAACAUAUUCAAUGUGAAAGUGAUGAUGAGUAUAUAAACUUGAGUGACCCGAUCGUUACCUGUUUUUGUUUCCGAAAUUGAAUUCUGAUUCGGAGCUCCAAUAACUGCCAUGGAAGGAGGUGGAGGAACGCUAUCGGAGAUUCACCAAACCGCAAGAAAACUCUUGCUCAGAACACGCGACGGUCUCGAACGUCUCGAGUGCCUAGAGUAUUCCAAUUCCUCUUCAUCAUCAUCCGAUUUCUCCUUCUCCGUAAACAAUGACAUCGCUCAGAUCCAAUCUCUCUGCGUUGAUAUGGAUCGUCUCUCACGCUCUAUUGGUGCAAAAUCGCAACGCGAUCUCUGGAAAAGGUUCGCUCGUGCUUCGCAUUUUCCAUUCAUGUCUCUGUAUAACGGAAUUUUAACUGAAAUCUCCGUUUCUGUUAGAUUUUACUUUUGAUGAUCAUGAUGCUUUCGUUUCAAUGCACUAUAGGUUUUAGAAGAAUUUCUUAUAGUUAAAUUGCAAGGAAAUUGAAUUAAUAGUGUUUAUAAUAUGUAGUAAUUUCAAUGUUUAGUAGUGAAAUUGAGAAUCUGUAUGAUGUAAUUACUUCUUUUCUAGGUAGCACCGGCACUUUAAAUUGAAGGUGCGUUUGGUGUUCGACACUGAAUUACGUUAGCUUUUCGUAUUGUUACUGUACUGAUGAGACAAUGUGUUAGUGUUGUGUUUGGUGUCUGUGUCGAUGUUUCAUAGUUGUUUUUACUUUUUAUAUGAUUUGUGUGUUGUAGUAGUUAUUAGGAUCUUCGUGUUCUAACUGUGAUGCUUUUUGGUUUAGGAAAAUCGAACAAAUAGCUGAAGAAGCUGAAUCGUUAAGAGAUAGUUUGGAGAAAUAUAACUCUCGGAAUCAUAAACGAAUGAUGGAAGCUAAAGAGAGAGCAGAACUUCUGGGAAGAGCUGUAUGUGAUUGCUAUUUAGUGAUUCAAUGUUUUUGUGUUUGUUUUUUUGCUAAAUUGUGACUUUUGAUGUUAAUUACGGUGUAACAGAAUGGUGAUUCUAGUCAUGUAUUGAGGAUUUAUGAUGAGGAGGCGCAGGCGAUGCAGUCGGUUCGUAGUUCUGCACGUGAAUUGGAAAAUGCUAAUGCACUUGGGGAGACAAUACUUUCAUCUAUUCAUGGACAAAGGGAACGCUUGAAGGUAAUCUACCCAUUUUCUGCAUUUACUCAGCAACAAAUGAUUAAUAGCUUGAAAUUGAAUUGACGAGUAGGAGAAUAAUCACCAUUAUGCUAUUGUUUAGGUUUACCAUUUAUGUCAUUUACUUUCUGUUGCAAAUGGUGAAUCAUAUUUUAUGUUUGUAUAUGCAUAUCUCUCGCUUUAUUUUGUUUUGGCUUGCUCUGACGUUUUAAGUAAUGGCAACUUAUACAUGCAAGUGGAUUAUUGGAACUACAUAGUACGAUAGCCACUUCUUGCGUCCAACGCAAGCUUUGAAAUGACUGCAUUUUCAGGGGCAGUCUACUGCGGUUCCAAACAGCAACUAGCGCCCCCGAUUCUCUUUCACUUUUCUUUCAACCAAGAAUAUUUUUUGCCUUGGUAUUUAUUAACCUUCCAUCUGAAUAAAUGGGUAAUCAUAAAAUCUCAAAUCAGUAGAUUCCUCAUGGCUUAUAAAAAGAAAAAGAGAUUCCUCAUGUAACAUGCACGAUGUCUUCUUUACCCACCACCAGCCCCGCUCAAUUUUAUCUGUUAAGUUCUUCAUCAGCUUUGUUGGUUGGUUUUUGACGUUUUUUAAUUGCAGUUUCUGUUUUAAAUUAUACGAAUAAUUUGUAGGUUUUUACUUUUGACUUUCAAUGUUUCUCUCCAUUCUAAGCUUAAUUAUUAUCCAUAUAACUAGUAUGAAUGCUGACGCUAGUGAUAAUCAGUAUUUAGUAGUAAUGUGUUGGUGUUACGUUGUUGCUGACAUACCUAUCAUAUUUGACUUAUCUUUGUGCAGAGUGCACAGAGGAAAGCAUUGGAUGUUCUCAAUACAGUGGGGAUAUCAAACCGUGUUUUGAGGCUAAUUGAAAGACGUAACCGUGUUGAUCAAUGGAUCAAAUAUGCGGGAAUGAUAUUGACUAUCAUUUUCUUGUUUGCUUUUGUUCUAUGGAGACGUUAACACCAGCAGUUGUUGAAAAUUUGACAUAUUUCUCAAAUUCCUCGGUGGAAAGUGUAUAAAAUUUUGAUGUAAGGUCUUUUAAGGCUGACCAGAGCAGUUUUCCAGAAAAUUUGCUUCUUCGAUGACAUACAGAAACUGCUUAUAAAUCUCAUGUUUAUUACUGCUUAUAAAUCUCAGGUUUACCCUAGAUAUAUUAUAGUUUGUUCAGAUUCAAAGAUAGGAUCUAAGACUAGUAGCACACUGAAAUGAUAAAAACUCACUCCUCUUAUUGAUUUUAUAAUAUUUGGUUAGUUAAUUAUUGUAUAUUAGUAUAAUUUUCAUUGUAAAAGUUCAUAUACAUACUACUGGAUUUCUUUUACUAGUGUUGAGGAUAGCUAGUAUGUAAAAAGAUUUAUUUUAUUACCAUGUUAUACGAUCGAUGGUACUGGUGACCCAAAGUAACUUAGGGCUCAUUUGGAUUUGUUUAAUUUUUUAGUUUAUCAAAAUAACCUAUGUAAAUUAAUAAAUUUUUAUGUUAAUUCAUAAGUUUUCUCUAAUAAAUAUUGUAUUUUUAUAAUACAUAAAUACUUUUUUAUUUGUAUAAAUUGUUUCGUAUAAGCUAAAAACAUACACUUAAUGAUUCAUAAAUAUUGUAAGAAUCCAAUUUCGUUAGCUCAUACUCCCUUCUUUUUUUAUAAGUGUCCAGUUUUCUUAGAUUUAACGUUUCUAAUUAAUUGUCCAAUUUAUGUUUUAAGGAUAUGAUUUCCCAAUUAUUCUUAUCUUUUUCAAUAAUUUUUUAUAUAUAUAUUUAAAAAACUAAAGUUUUUUUUAAACAAAGUUUUUUUUUUAAAAAAAGAAAGUUUUAUUUUUGACGAUAGGAAAAUUUGUUACCAUAGGAAAGUUUUUUUUUACAAUAGUAACUAACAAUGGAUUGUUGAGAGAGAAACGAUAUAUUUUUUUUGUAUAACAAUAAAUUUAUUUGACAGAAUGCAAAAGAAUAGGAAUUUAUUGGUGAAUUAAGACGAGAGUAUAAUAGGAAGAUAAAGUACAAAAAUCUAUUUUCUUAAUUUGGUGUUAUCAUUCUAACUGGACACUUAUAAAAAAAAUGGAGUAACAAGUUACCAGACAAGCACCUGAAGGUUGCGGAAUCAGACGCAAACUAAGUCAUAGAUAUCAAUCAAUUUUGUUGGCUUUUUGAAAACCUUGAGCAGAUUAAAGUUCCACACAAAAAUUGGUGUGCAGGCCAACAUGAUUAAUCAACCAAACAAGCACAAAUAGACAUAAAUGUGGGACACAUGGAUGUUUGAACGAUAGGGCAAUUAUAAAACUGAAAUUUUAAGAUUUGUGUUCUGUAUAUAAACUAAAUAAAUAAACAGUGUCUAAUUUUUCACCGUCACAAUUGGCACUAUAUAAGCUCAAUGCAACGCAUGUUACAUGUUUUCUAGUAACUAAAAGUUCACUGUUACCACUAAACAUAUAAUAAGAAAUAAUAAUUUAUCAUUAACUUCCAUUAAACCAUUAUCAAGUGAAAUGGUGGAGAGGUUAGGUACUGAUCCUGCUUGGAUUUCCAAUGUCUUUGGCGUAGAUGUGCUGGCACUAGAAGGUCCAAAGUUCUGGUAUCCACCAUGAUUUAUAAACUCUGCAGAGGAUCCUUUUGGCCCAUUACCAUAAUGUUGUAUGCUGGCUGUGGCUGUGGCUGUGGCUAGUCCAUGUUGGCUGUGGCUGUGGCUAGUCCAUGUUGGCUGUGGCUGUAGAUGUGUCCAUGUCUGUGGCUGAGUCCAUGUAGGUGGCUUCCCUAGAUUUGUCGCAUUUACCAGAGUGGUGGCUGGUUUGUGGCCAUCGCUGUGGCUCAGUCCAUGUCUGUGGCUGUGGUUGAGUCCAUAUUUGUGGCUGUGAUGUUUGUGGCUGUGGUUGAGUCCAUAUUUGUGGCUGUGAUGUUUGUGGCUGUGACUGGGGAUGUGUCCAUGUUGGCUGUGGCUGGAGCUGUGUCGAUGUAUGUGGUUGUGGCUGCGGCUGAGGCUGUGUCAAUGUAUGUGGCUGUGGCCGUGUUGGUGGCUUCCCUAGAUUUGUUGCAUUUACCAUAGUGGUCAGUUUGUCCACGCCAUCGGCCACCACUGUCCUGCCAGAACACCCAUCACAAGAUAGAACGCAAGCUACAACAUGCAUAGAGGCUGCUAGGAUGGGAGGAAGAGGACUCCUUGGAUAUGAUACCUGAAAGUGUGUCGAGAUAUAUAAUAAGAAAGGGAAAGAUAUAGCUUUCGCAAUUGUGUAAACUACGAAAAAGUAAAAAUAGGUUUCUUACUUUGUAUAAAAUUGCAGCUGAUAAACGCUCUCUCAAGCAAUAUAACAGAGAAACAUCAAUUGCUUUUGAACCAAAAUAAAGCCAACGGUCCACGAUUAUUCUAACUGUGCUAUCAGGGUUAGACAUGAACUGAUCCUGGUUGUUUCCACUGGAUUUAGUAUCCAACUCCAUUGCAUCAUCACCUCCAGCUUCAUCUUCACUCCCUUCAUCAUCGUCGUCGUCAUCCUCCUCCUCCUUCUUCUGAUCAUUCUCUUCUCCUGGAGCAACAGAAAUCUCGGUUGAAAGAAGCAAGAUUGGAAGUGGUCCAAUAAGACUGCAGUUCCUUAUGUUUACACCCAUAUCACCGCGAGUAAUCUCAUCAAACACAACUAAAGUGUGGCCUAAAUUUUUCUUGAAAGACAACUUAAAAUUUAUGGAACGAUUGUGCACGCGAACUUUAUCGCCACUUGCAGUUUCAAUCAAAGCCCUUUUUGCACCUUUACUUGGAAAACAUAAUCUGCCAAUCAUUGGAUACAUACCAGCAACCAAAACCGCGUGCAGCACACCAGGGUCAUAUGCAUUCAUGCUGUAACUUGAAAUAUCAUCUGAAUGAAUAAACCCAAUUCGGAUAAGUUCCGUUUGGAGCUGCUUACGCAUGCCAGAUAACAUCUUCAUGGCACCUCCAGACACAUAAUAUUGCGAACAAAACCGCGCUUCUAGACCCAUUUCUUUUGAAUUUUUCCAACAUUCAUAUGCAGCUAGUACAGCAAACUGAUCACCAAAUCCCCCAUAUAACGAAGCAAGCUCAGAUUUGGCGUCUUCGGCUCUCUUCUUGUCUUCGGUUAACAUUGGAAUUGUAAAUGGAUCUUUAUAAUCAGAUGCGCAUGCUAGAGUUAAAGCUGGGUCAAGGCAGUUCAUUAAGAUAGCAAAAAACAGCAUCCUGCUGAUCACUGGGUGAACAGGGAGAGAACCAAGCUUCUCUCCAAGAUCAGUAAGUGUUCCAUCGGGUGACAAUGCCCCAAUAUCACGAAGGACUACAAUAGCAUUACGUAUGGAUUCAGAAACCGGUGGAUCUAAUGUCUUGGCAAGAAACUCUUCUAUUUUGCAGCUUGGAUCAAGCACCUUUACCUGUCACAAUAUAUUUUAUAUAAAAUCAAUUCAUCAACAUAUUGGAUCAAUGCCAGGAAAAUUGCAGUAUAUUUUAUAUAAAAUCAAUUCAUCAACGCAUUGCUUGUACCCAAUCAAUUCAUUCACAUGAGUAACAAUAUAAAAGAAAUAGAUCUUCAAGGAAACAUGAAAUAGAGAUUGUAGUAUAUUUUAUAUAAAAUCAAUUCAUUCACAUGAUUAACAAUAUAACAGAAAUAUAUCUUCAAGGAAACAUGAAAUAUAGACUGGUGGAAUUAGUGUGAAUGUCAUGAUUUAGCAUCAAGUCGCAAGUUUUCCCAUUUUUCACAAUUUUUCUUAUUACACUUUUUCCAUUUUUUCACGGAGGAAUAUUAAUAUGCACCAAGAUUUAGAGACACCAAUUAAUGAAGACAAAUACCUGCAGACAUAUCUCCUCAAUAGGCAUUCUCUUAAUUUCUGGAGUCCGAAAGUCUGGCAACGCAGCUGCUCGAAGCUUCGAAUACAAAUGAUAACAAAUUCCAGGUUGACAACGGCCAGCACGUCCCUCUCGUUGCUUGGCACUUGCUUUUGAAAUCCAAGAUGAUUCAAGAGUUGACACAUUGUUAUAAGGAUCGUAACUUUUUUCCUUCAUCCGUCCAGUGUCUAUGACAUACACUAUAUCAUCAAUGGUGACAGCUGUUUCAGCAAUAUUGGUUGAGAGAACAAUUUUGCGGCAUCCAGGAGGUGGGCGCGUAAAAACCUUCCUUUGCUCCAAAAUUGGAACCAUUGAAUGCAGAGAUAUGACUACAAAUUUCGAUGGAUUCAUGAAAAAAGAGGAUGCAAGCAAUUUUUCACGCGCUCUGUUUAUAUCAUCCCAUCCUGGAAGAAAAACAAGGAUGCCUCCAUCUUUUGAAUCAGUACAUAUUUUUCUUAUCAGCUUCUCUAUCAGAACAACGUCAACAAUUUCAGAUCGGACUGUUUCAAGAUAUUUAUCAAGUAAAUUUUGCUCCUCCGUGGAGUUGGAACCAUCCAUGUGCUUUUUUAUUAUUUCAGCAGCUUCUGCUUGGUUUUCCCUUUCAGCAAUCUCUAGCGCAGUUGUUCCGUCUUUGGCCCUUAAAUUGCAAUCUGCCCCAAUAGAUAAGAGCAUGCACAUUUCACAAACUCUACCUCUUCCGGCAAACACCAUUAACGGUGUAAGGCCACUUAAAGAAUGCUGGUAAUUAAAUAGUUCUGGGGUUCCUUCGGAAGAAACCAACUCUAACAGUAGGUCCCACUCAUCAUUAGACCAAGCCAAAUUAAUAGCUUCGUCGAAAGAAAGCUUUUGGUCUUCACUUAUCUCGUGAUUGUUUGUUGGAUUACUAAGUGUGGUAGUAUCAUUAUUGCUUGGUUUUACAGCAAAAAGUACAUCCUCCAAAUAGUAAGUUUUGACCUGAACAAAGAAAUAACAUAUAAGAUUGUAGCAAAAAUGUGAUAACAAAAAGAAUUAGUCAAUUCUCGAUAUACUCUAUAAGUACCGGAUAAGUGAACCCUGGAACUUGGAUAAUUGGGCAGCCCCCAAAAUAUUGAGAGAAUCUUGCAGUAUCAAUGGUAGCACUCAUUAAUAUCUGACAUUAGAACACCAGAAAACAGAUAAAGAUUAAAAAUAGGGGUCAAAAAUGGGAAAUAUUAUGUAUAUGAUUUGAAAAAGAAUUUGACAGUUUGAAAGAGAAAUGGAGAAAGAUAACUACAAAAUGUAAUAGUUUGAACUGACCAGACGUAGAUGCGGAUAUGAAGGGAGCAUGUCUCUGCAUAUAAUUUAUCAAAAAUCAGAAAUAUCAAUCAGAAAAACGUCUUAGACGAGUGAUCUCACAUAAAAUAUUUUUUCUUUGGGAGGGGGGAUUAAAUAUAACGGGAAAGCUAUUGCCACAACGUUGGGCUAAAAUAAGUCUUGGGCUUGUGAAUGACAACUCUACCGUAAAGAUUAUGCUAUUAGAUGCAAAUUAUUUUGGACAAGCUUAACCUACAGCCCAAUUUUAUGCUUGCUUACGCAACGGACAUUUAUAUGUUUGUAUUUAACUAUUAUAUCCCACUAGAAACUAGAAAGUAAAGACUAAUAUGUUGCUUUCAAAUUUAUACCUGAGUAUUGCUAACAUGAAGUCUGAAUAUCUGUCCCUUUCAUGAAUUUCGUCCUGAAAAAGAAACAAAUGUCACCUCCCCUCAGUUUGCAAUACAUAUUGAGCAAGGAUGCACAUACACCAAAAUUCUAUAUGAUAAAGGGUAUGAAAAUGUUUCAAUUCACUUCUUAGUUCUCACUAGUCACACUUAUCAUAUAAGUGCUUAUGUAUAAACUUUUCUAUAAAACAAGAUAAAAAUAAAGUUAAAUGACUUUCAUAUAAGCUAUCCUGCAGAGCCUGUGAAAAUAAAUUGAAAACAGCCUAUACAUGUGUCAUAAGUUAUUUCCACAAGUUCUCUCAAACAGUCUCACAAAUGCUGAUGUCAGUAAAUAAGCUCAAAUAAACUGAUCCAAACAGGAACUUAGUCAACUGGACUAUGAUUUGGACCAUAUAGACACAGUCACUAAUUACAUAAUUCCUUUGCAAUUUUUCACGCAUAAAAAUAUCCAGCAUUGUGCAAUACUAACACCAGUGUCACUAUGUCAGUGAUAACUUUUUUUAGUUUUAGAAUUAAUAAUAUAAAGAUUUCCUACUUUCACCAUCUUCCAUAUAAUGGCAAUCAUGAUGACCAUGACACUAAAACACCUCUGGUAUAGUUAUUCAACUCAAACAUAAAUGGAACCUGUUCAGAGCUCAAAUCAAAUUUCCAUAAUUUACAAACAAAAAAAAAUUAGAAAUUACAUCCAACAAUCUCAUAGAUUUUCCUAGCCAGUUCAAACUUCAAUUAAUCAAUGUAUCUAAGAACAUAACAGUCAUGGCUAACGACCAAUUAACAAGCAUGGUAUAGAAGAAACAUGAGCUUAAAUAUUUACUUAAGAUUAAUACAAUAUGUUUAAGCUUUAGCAGAAGAUAACAAAUAAUUUAGAAGAAGUACCAUAAUGAUGUGAGUGAUGUUAGAAAUUCCGUCCUUCGCAUGCUUCAUCUUUGACGGACCAGAACCUUUAGAAACCAACACCCUUAAUAGAACUCCAGUAGUACAUAGCACAAUAGAUGAUUGCUUUCCACCUUUGCUGUCUAAGCGUAUCUGGAAUGUUUAUUUAAAGUUAGAGGAUAUUGUUAAAUGGAGGAGGAAGAACAAAGACUUUGAAUAAUGUUUGAUUUGAUGAUACAAAAAAAAAAUACAAAGCACUAACCCUUAUUUAAUACGUAUACUAAUACAUGACUCCAGAUCCUAAUAAAAUUGAGGAAGGGAAUUUUUCACUACAGUGGCACUAAUGAGUAAUGACCAUUUUGCAAUGGUCUCAAGUGGGAUUUAAACUCUGUCCCUAAUUAAAUAGGAAAAAAAAAACCGUAACAAUAACUAAGUAAUGGAAACUAAUCACAAUAGAUACUCUAAAAUAAGAAACUAAGCCUAUGAGAUGAUUUAAGGUACUCAUAACAUAAUAUGAAGAAUUGAAGAUAUCAUGAUAUUUUCAUAGCUUCUAACAGUCUCUAUAAGAUAUAAGCCACGGAAUUAUAUAUAAGACAUGUAAAACACUAUAGAUCAUUUCCUCAGUAUCAAUAAAAAAAAUGUUAAGUGCAUUACGGAUAUUUAUCAUGCAACUGCAAGAAAUUGGUUUGAUGAUGAUAACAUCGCUCAACAUUCAGCAAAUAUUUCUAACCAAAAAGUAAUAUGAACAAAGGAUCACAGCACCGCUGCUAUGAAAAUACACAAAUAAAAUUACCUUGUAUCCAAUAUUAUCUCCGGCAGGCUCUCCUCUCUCUUUAGAGAUUCUCUCAGAAACUAGACACGUAAAAGAUGGAAGAAAACAAAUUUUAAUUUACACUGAAACGGGAACAUCAAUAAAAUCAAAGUUUGAAAGAGUUUCACACCUGACAUUGCAGAGAUACGCCGAGGCUGAGUGCAAAGUAUCUUGCAUACCUCGCCCUUACCCCACAUAUGGUCCAAAAUAUAUUGUGGGACCUGAAUCAUGAAUUAAUAUUAAUUAUUAAGUCAAAUAUGAUAUUUCCCAUGGCAUACAAAAGCUAUCAAAAGAUCUUGGUCCAUAUAUAUACAAUAAUUGGAGUACUUGUGGGAGAAACCCAAAAUCCCAAAGCAUCAAGAAAUCAUCAUGUAUCCUCAAUGAUCAAAGCUAGAGUCAAAUAAUCGAGGAUAAAAAUUAAAAGUGGGAGCACAUUAAUAAAUUAUAAGUAAACAAUGGGGAAAAUUCAUAUCAGAAGCUUGCAUAAUAAAAAAAUAUCACCUUUUAAGCAAAACAUUGAUCAUUUUGAAACAGUUGCAGACAAAUUAUAUUAAAAUAAGUUGUACCACAAUAAAGACAAAGCAAAGAAUUGGUAACCUGCGUAGUCUUUCCGCAACCAGUCUCACCAGAAAUGAGAACUACCUGCUUUGAAACACAUGAAAAGAAAAUUAAGAUCAAAACACAUGCAAAAAUACAACCUUCAAAUGUUGAAAUUGGAUUAACAAAAAUCUUUCUAAAAACUAUGUUUGACAUAUUUUACGUGUCAAUGCCAUAUCAGAUAAAAGGCAAAUUUGCAAAGCAAAAGAUGAAAUUAACCUGGUGGGAGUCAACUGUUGAUGUAAUUUCAUCUUUGUAAGAUGCAAUUGGUAGCUUAGAUCUCAACUCAGUGAUCUGUGAACAAAAAUCAAUUAAACGAUUCAAUAAUGAAACUAUUCUUUUGCAAAUUACUACAGAAAAAGUAGUAACAAAGCAAUGCAGCAUCCAUCCAACAAAAUUCAUAUGCACAUGGUCUUUGAAGUUCAAUCGAGAGGGGGGAAAAUGAACCUCUUUCAAGCCAGAUACAGUCUCUCUUCUAGAAACUACUAUUUCCAAUCUCCGAGCAAUUUCAUCUUUGGUCAUAGAGGGACUGCUGAAAAUAUCAUCUGUAUGACGUCUUGCGCUAUGAGUCUUGCCACUAUUUUCUCCAACCAUAUCCUUCAAGUUUCCAUCACCAGGUGGAAAAUGAGCAAAUAAAUCGCCUAAUGCCCUUUUUGACUCUUCCGAAAAUGUGAAAUGGGGAAGACUCUCUAACUUAUUAUCACUCUGAGACUUCUUAGUGACUUUUCGAACAGACAAUCUCCUUUCAUUCCCAGUCCUAUACAAAAGGCAGGUUCAAUAUCAACAACACAGCAUGUAAAAAUUGAACCAAACACAUUCUUCCAUUACCAAUUAUUAUUCCAUUGAGGAAUUGUGCUGUCCUUAGCACUCACUCACCCAGAACUUUUAGAUUUAAACCCCAUUUUUAGGGAUAAUACAUGCACAUAGCGACGGUCGACAUUGGACAAACCAGGUUCAAACUUGUACUCUGCAGAUAACGACAAAAAACACCCAAAUUUCAUAAAUGAAUAGUCAUGCAACAAAUGUUUGGCUUAAAUAUGCAAAUGGUGCCAUUGAAAAAAAUAUUGAUUGUAGUCUUUUUUUUGUCAAGUUGCCUAGUGGCCAGAAUCACACAUUUUAAGUACUCAGGCCCCUACAAAUCAACGUCCCCGGCAGCUACUGAGCAGCACUUACGGAACUCCUAACACUCCUCUUUAUUCAAUGAAGAAUGACCUCAAAAGAAGACAUUAUUCACUGCAAUAUUCAUUAUAGUCCUUGUUUUGUUUUAAUCCUGGGAAUCUAGUCGCUCAAAAUAAGUACUAAAAUGAGCAUUCCAAUGACUAACUUCAAUGUGAUCAGAUUUUGCAUGAACAAAAACAAAACAUCAAGGACUAAAAAGCAAAAAAAAAAAAUGUAUUAUUUGCAAUGACUAAAAACAAACAAAAAUUACAAGAACCAAAAGCAAAAAAUGUAUAUUUGCAUGAACUAAAAUUUUAUUUAAACCUAAAUAUUUUCAUUGGAUCAUAAACUAGCCAAAAAAUAAAAAACAAAUACUCAAACUUGAAAGCUAUGAAGAACGGGAACAGACACGAACACCGGACACAACACGGACCCUGACGGUCGACCCCAAUUAUAAUUUGAGAAAAUAACAUAAUCCAGUGUAAUCAUAAGUGUAAUCAUAAGUGUCGGUGCUGUGUAGGUGUCCGACACCGACGCGUAUCCGACACCCGGACACGCGCUUCAUAGCUUGAAAAUAAAAACAAAUACCUAAAAUUCAUAUAAAUUUAAGAUAAUCAAACAUGAACUGAAGGUAAGCGAGCAACGAGUUGCGCCGCUAACCCUUUUUUGAUGGAAAAUAUUCAAAUAAAACGAAACAUUCAAUUGAUCAGAAAUUUCAUACAAAACCAAUGAACACCAACAACACAAAACAAAACAAAACAAAACAAAACAAAACAAAACAAAAAAAAGAAAGAUUUUUUAUAAUUUUUAUCUGAAAAUGAAACAGCCCAAGUAAUAUUUUAUACAAUAAACGAUGAAAAAGAUAAAGAUUGAGUGUUACCAUCAUCAUUGGAAGCUUGAAACUUUUCCAAAGCCCUUGUUAAACGAAUCCUCGUAGCUUCAGCGAUUUUGGGUAAUGGCUGUCUUUUAUUGUUCUUUUUACUCGGCAUUGAGGAUUGUUGUGAGUGAAUGAAUGAAGCGAGAAGAACGUUUCUUCAAUCUGCCGCUAUAGUUGCUGCUAUUGUUGUUGCUGUGUUUUGUUUAGGAACUCUGUGUUUGUUUAUAUGUCACUUCAAAUUCCAAUUUUUCCCUAACAAAUCAAGAGACUAUAUUUUAUGAGUUUAAUUGAUAUGUCCCGAUGAUCUAAAAUAGUUUUACACGAUCGUCUAAUAAAUAAUCUUUAUUUUUUCAUGUCAAGAAAAUUGGGUAAUGUGGCGGAAAAGAUGGUUGGUAUUGGUUGACAGUGUAAAAUUAUUUUACACUGUCAAUGCAUAUCAAAAUUUUACACCGUCAAUACAUAUCAAUUAAACCUUUUUUUUUUAUUUUUACUUUUUAUUACUUUUUAUUAUUUAUAGUAUAUAUUUUUUUUCAUCACCGGCAUUUAGUCUACUGACCACUUAAAAUCUAGUUCGGAUGAUCUGUUUUAAUAUCAAGUAAUUUCAAUCAUUUCUGAUCACAAUUACGAGAAAUCAAACUGUGAUCCUCCCGAUAAGUUACUAAACCAACGAUUGCUUUAUAGUAUACACUUUUUGCUGAGCAAGUACAUAUAUACUACAUCAUGUCCUUAUAAUAAGAUUUAAUUACGUCAGGUUGUUUUGUGUACUUUUUAUACAUUAUACAUAUAUAAAAAAAUAGAACAACGAUAUAAUUUUUAUUUUUUCUUACAAUAACAACAAUAUAUUUGAUAUCAUAACUAUUUGGUUUAAUAUUUGAUUUUUUGCUGGUUUAAUAAAAUUGGUUUUAUCAAUAAAAAAUUAGCAGCAUAGUUUAUUGCAUGUUUAUUUUUUAUUCUUGUGUAAUAAUUAACUUUAUUUUUUGUUAUAUAAUUUAGUUGCUAGAAAUUUUAUUCUUAAGGUGGGGAAGUAAAGUGUCUGAGGUUCGAAUCUCUGGAUAUACAUCUUAAAUUUAUAUUAUAUUUUUUUUUUUUUUUUNNNNNNNNNNNNNNNNNNNNNNNNNNNNNNNNUGUUCAUAGCUUUGAGAUCGGGAAUCUACAACAUCACUGAGAAAUCAAAUCUCAUUCUGAAAAUGGAGUGUGGAUGUAGAAACCCUAAUCUAAUCUAUAUUAUAUUUUAUUCUAUAUAUUAUGAAGUAUAUUAUGGUCUUGAUGAAGUUCAGUUGGAAAACAUUCAUUUAUAUUUUAACAUAAGGAAACUUGCCUCCAAGGAUUCCAAGCCUGGAUAAAAUAUCGGUACCUACUUUUAUAUUUAUUUGAUUUUUGUCCCUGUAAAAUAAAAUCAUUUAUUUUCAUCCUAGGAUUAUCAAUGGAGGCAUCGUCACUAAUGCGACUAAUUCUUUACAAUCCUGAAGGUCUUCACUCUUCAAUAUCGAAGUGCAUCCUCCAAAUGCACCUUUUAUCAAAGAAUUUUUAUGACGUCCUCACUUUUUAAAACUGGAUCAAAUGAAAUACAGAUGACACUUCCAUUUAUAUAAAUAAAAUUUGAUCUCAUUAAAUAUCAUACAUUUGCAAUUAUAUUUUCAAAACUAUAUAGUAAUAAUAAAAGAAUUGAAAAUAAAGAUUUCGACUCUCCAUAACAACAGACUCCUUUUCUUCAUAGUCGCCGCCCCCACCUUAACCUAGUUUUUUUUCUUCUUGAUCUAUCAAGGAGGGGUGGUUUUAGGGUCAAUUUUUGACCCAAAAUCACCCCUCAUAAUUGUUUUUCUUUUUCUUCUUUAUUUAAAUAAUUGAUCUUCACAUUUAUCAAGUUUUUCUUUUAUGUUUUCUUUUUUGUGAUUUCGACGUCUGAGUGCGGCGUUGUGUUGUUCGUCGUCUUGUGCGACGUUUUUGUUGUCCCGUAUUGUGCGGUGUUCAUUUGAUUUCUAUUGAAAAGAUCGGUUUCAGUCAAUUACAGAUUCAACCAAUGAUUUGGGCUUCAACGCUGCAGAUCCGGAGGCAUGGAUACUGUGAGUUUCAGUCAAUUAUAGAUUUAACUUUAUCAUAUUAUUUGUUGUAGGCAUUUUGCCGUUGUAUGCUAUUAACUCGGAUGCUGUGAGUUUUGUUCGCAGAUUCAUCCUUUACGGUUUUAGCGAUGUUGAUUAUGUGGUUGUAUUUGAUGUAAUCUAUCAAUUUGAAUGAAUGAAUAUCAUUUUGUUAUUGUCAAAAAAAAAGUGGGAAAAAAGAAAGAAAGAUCAAUGAUAGCUUCAUUGCUUUUUAUGAAAAUCACCAUUGAAACUAGCUUCCUUCUCUUUGGGUUUUGUUUAUUUUAAGGGGUUUUGUUUACUGUCACAAACAAAAACUGUUUAUAAUUCAAGAUGGUUUCCUUUAAAAAAAAUCAAGCUAGUUUAAUUAUAAAAUUGAGAGAAUGAAAAGCAAUAAUAUGUUGCAAAUUAUUCAGCUAAGAACCCUAAAAACAAGCAUUUUAAACAUAGUGCCUGCAGUCACUAAUAUAAAAAAAAAAAAAAAAACUUUUUAGAUUCAUCGAAAAACUUUUAUAGGCCAAAUACAUUAGUAUUCGUAAAGUGGUUUUUUUUUUAUAAUAUUGACCGAAGGGAGUAAUAAAUAUUUCGGCAGUGUAACACAAUUUUCGCCCCUUAGAGAUGCACCAAAAAUUCUGGAUGCAUGCUAAAUAAACGGUACUGUGGUAGGACUAAGGCAUGUUAUAAAAAUAUAUUGUUAGCAUCAUAUGUACUUGUCGCUCUUCUCAUUUUCAUUUUUACCCUUCCGCUACUUAAGUAACGGAUGUUAUAAAAAUGAGAAGAAAAAAAAAAUCUCUAACAUGAAAUUUUCAAGAUUUUGCAUGUCUGAUACUUGACCGACGUUAUAAAAAUGAGGGGAAAAAACCCAUAACACGAACUUUUCAAGAUCUUACAUGUCCGCUACUUAGCGGACAAGGAUUUUUCGGUAAUUUUGAAGGGCACAUGAGAAAAUUGGUAGGAUGCCAAAAGAAAUUCUCAUGAGCAAUAGACAAAGGAAUCAGGGAUCACCAAGACAAAAAGAAAUAGUCCACAUGCAUGGUAGGAUCGAAAAGAGAAAUUGGCAAAUAAAGUAAAACUGAACAAAUAAGUAGUUCCUGGCAGUAACUGCUUUUGCAAGUUCCUGGUUGAAAGCUAAGACACCAGUAUAUACACAAUAAGUCAUUGAAUUAAUGUCUUAGGAGUUGGUAUAAGGUAACUUCUGAAUGAAAUGAAACAACAAUUUAUUAUUAAAUUUAUGAAAAGUCACAUGCAUGUUUUGAAAUAAAUGUCUACUUUUGAUGACAGUAAUGGUAUUUACACAAUUGCAAUGAUAAUUAAAAGAUAAAUCAAUUGAAAAUGAGUUUGUCAUCUAAGUUCCUCCAUUGCAGUAAUGGAUGCCAUUGCUAUGCCCAUUUUGGUACUUUUUAUUCAGAUUAUUAAGGCCCCAUAUCCGAAUUGUUCGGUCAUCACUGGCAGAGGCUAACAUGUGAGGAUUAGCUGGAUUCCAACUCACACAAUUAACAGCUCCUGAAUGACCAGGCAAUGCCUCUACUGGCUCGUCCGAGCUUCUGUGCCAUAUGUAAACCUACAAAGAUGGAACAUGAUUGAACUCAAUUUUAAUAAUCGUCGACAUUUUCAUCCAAAUGAACAAAGCUUCAUGACUAAUAAAAUUAUACUAAUCUAAGCUAUAUUUUGUCUCUACCUACAUUCAUAUGAAAUCCGCUAAACAUCACACCUAGAAACAAGUAAAUAUGGAUUUUCUUUUGCAUUAUAGAAAGAUGGGAAACUUAAGGCCAUUAAAAGAAUAAAAAAGAGAACACCAACUCAUUCAACUAUAGAGCAUAGCAGCAGAUUUGUAAGUUAUCAAGUUCCUAGUUUAAUCCUGAUACAGACUAGAAUAAAUAUUACAGAAGCAUGUAAUGUAAGACCUAACAUAUAAAUAAUUGUAGUUGAAUUCGUUCUACUAAUACCGUGACACGAUGACAUCCAAUAUAUUAAAUUAUCAAUCAAACCACAAAGCACCAUUUCAAGGUUCUAUAUGACAAUAUUUAAUGAUCCUUUGUAGCUUGCAUCAAAUCUCACUUAAUCAAAUUAUCUGAUUUGGAAACUAUAGUAUUUUGAUGAUAUAAGACGUAAACAUAUAAGCACCAAAAUAAUUUAUUUUGCAAAUUAUUCUUCAAAGGAUUUUGUUCGUUCUCAUCAAUGAAUAAAGAUCCAUACCUGUGAAUCCUCACUUCCACUAGCAAUGAAAGCUUGCUUAAGUCCACCAAAGCAAGAUCUUAUAAUAAACCUAGAGCGCCUAUGACCUUUGUACUUUCCAACGAGCUUAGGAUCACCUUCAAUAUUCCAUAGAUGUAUUUCUUGGUUCAAAAGAUUAACCAACAAGAAUUUGUUAUCCUUUGACAAAGAAAAAGAAGUUAUUGUCUGAGUUUCUUCAAUAAAUCUCUCAUCAUUUGUUUCUUUAUUGAACAACAAUACUGUAUUGGGUUUACAAAUACUUAGAAUCUCUUUCCCGUCAUCCGUUAUAUCCAAAUCAGAAAUCUUAAGAGAUUUUUGUCCCUUCCAAGACUCUACUUCUUUCCCAUCUAACUCCCACAUGCAAAUGCUCUUGUCACUUAAGCCAGAAAGUAUAUGUUUCCCACUUGGAAACCAUGUACAGGAGACUAGGGCAGCACCAGCUUUUUCAUAAAUUUGGAGACACUUACCAGUAGAGACAUCCCAACGCCUAAUAGACUCCUCCACUCCACAAGUGAGGAGCUCUUCAUCAUUAGGACUCCAUGAAACAGACGAAACGGGUUUCUGGUGACCAGAUAAUCUAUGCUUUACAGACAGCCCAUUUACGCCAACCUUUAAAAAGAAGACCCAGAGUUAAAAUCCAAAACCCAAUGUGGUAGGGUUAAGCCAUACUACACGUGUGUGAACGCACACAUGUGUGAGCAAGCAAUUUUGGGCAUUGAUGAGAGAAGGCUGUGAUUUGAAGGAAAAAAAUUACAACGAGUAUUUCAAAUUGGAACUGAAAAACAUUUUAUCAGUAAACCAAAAAAUAAAAGAACAGAGAAAACAAAUAAAAAUUCUCAGAUCAAAAUCAAAAAUACCUCCCAGAUGAUUGCAGUUUGAUCAUUUGAUGCUGAAGCUAAAUAUUGCCCAUUGUGUGAAAAUUGUACAAACCAGACUUCAUCAUCAUGUGUUUCUAAUAUCUGUUACAAUAUUAGCAAGAAAAGGAAAUAACAUCAGAAUAUAUAUAGCCCUCGAGCUAUAUAGAGAGUAAUGGCAAAGCAGUCACUGUACUAAAUAGAAAAAGGGUUGUACAGAAAGACAAAAUUUUGUCUCGCAAGUACAACUCAUGUGGUAAAAGGCUGCAGAGACAUUUCAUAUACUGGGACGUAGGUUCGGACCCACAAUUCCACAGUUCUCAACACUUAGUGUGCGUGAGUUUCGCCACUACGUUCUUUGAAACCAAAAAAAGUACAAAAUUCGAUUCCUUUUCUCUAUUUUCUCCUCCCUGGCUUUUGGGGUCGGAUUUUCAUAGAAAUCAGAUUAAAAAUAUUAUAGAUGGGAUGAAUGAGAACAUACAUACUCACAUAAAUGGGAACGAGUUUGCAACGAAAAGGCAUUCUAUAGAAUUUCUACUUUUAAGGUUAUUGGGUUCUUAUUAGAGGAAACUCAACACUCUGUGGUAAGAGGUUGGGUAUUGACGAGUCAAUUGCAAAAAACAAAUAUCAAACUAUGGUAUUGGAAAAAUGUGACCUCAUUUUCACUGAAAUGUUAUUUCAAGAAUUGAGAUUUGAAAAAGCAAAAUAGAUGCAAAAUUUUCCUCGUGAGAAUGUUAACCUAAUCUUUCGUGAGAUACCGAGUACAUGCACAUCAUUUCAUCCAAGAGAAGAUUUUAUCUUGUAAUAUCACUACUAAUUUAGUCAAUUCACGUGACCAACUAGCAUGUAUGUCACCAAAUAUAGUUAAUUGGUAUGAUCAAAUCUUAUUCAUCAUUAACAUUCCUUCUAUGCAAAGACAGAAACCAAAAGUAUAGAAAUCACCGGCUUCAACAAUAAUCACAUCCACUUGCAAGAUGCCACAAUUUAGUAUACACAAAAUUUAGUACAUCACAGUAUUAACUUUGUGAUGAAGAAAGAACAAAUAUGAUAACAGUGAAGCAAAAGCAUACAAUGGUCUUAGCAAACAAUGAACCUUUAAACAAAAAAUGUAAAGGAAAAAGAUAGCUAACAGAAAGAGUUCCAGUCCACAACGAGCAAACGAAAAGAGAAUGUCAUUACUGAUUAACAAGUCAGCCAACAAGAAAUAUCUCAAUUUCUUAAAAUAUAUUAAGAAGAAUAGAGAUCAAACAAAAACGCUCACAUGUAAAGCUAACAGCACCAAUUAGAAAUAUCAUUUUCUAACCUGUACUGUUCUAGAAGGUAUCAGUUCUUUUCCACAAUGAUGAUCAGAAUAUAAUGACAUCUUAUCCAUUGAGUUGUGAAAUGGGCAAGUCUCCGUCUGCAAGAUAAGGGCUUGCUCAACCAGAUGUUCCAACCUCUUUUCGGGUAUCAUCACUGUCGGAGGAAGCAGUUUCUGCAAUUCCUCCAGAAGCUUUGACCGAGACCUCACCUUUACUAUAUCUUGCUUAGGUGAUGGAGACACUAAGCAGGAAGAAAGUUCCCGAAUUCUACUACUAUAACUGCAAAGUGGAGUAAUCUCCUCCCUCAAGGUCAUCAAAGCUUCCAUAACCUUUUCCCCAUGUAGAAGUUCAAAGAAUUUCUGUUCCAAUAUCAAACAUGACGCCGAUCUAACAACAUUUUCAUCUGCCAGACCAAUUUUAUGCAAUGUAGCUACACUCUCAUCCCAAUUUCCAUCAAGUACUUGUUGCGUAAACAGAUUCACCCCAGGUGAAUGUAAAGGUAUCCCGGACUCCUCUUCCAGACGCUCACCACUCUUUCUAUAACCAAGCGAAUACAAUGCCUUUGCAAUUAUCCUAACAAAUUCCUCUCUCUUUAUAACCCCUUUAGAACCGACAACUUGUUCGUCCACUUCAGACGGUAGCGGCCGAGCCAUAGAGUUACUAGAGAAACCUCCAACAGUCUCAAGCGUAGAAGAUCCGUUCGACAAGGCAGCUAACCCUUUAGCGGAAACCUUCAUACGUUUCAAAGCUGGUUCUUCAUCGUCCACACCUCCCAUGAAAAGUUCACCUCAGCCCAUAUAUAAUAAUCUCAGCAAUCAGAAAAUCAACACAAUCAAGCAUAUAACCAAAAAAACAACCUCAAAGCAACAAAAUGCCUGCACAGAAAAUAGUCAAACGAAUCAAAACAACAACAGCAACAACAAUAAAUACAUCAAAAUUAACCUAUGAAGCACGGACACGUCGACACCGAUAAUAAUAUGAGAAAAUGACAUAAUUAAGUGUAAUCAUAAGUGUUAGUGUCGUGUCGGUGUCCAAUUCCAACACGGAACACGAGGAGUGUCCGUGCUUCAUAGAAAUUAACCCCUCAAUUAAAGCUAAAACAUCGUACAAAUUCCUCAAACUUAAAUUGCAAACAUAAUAAUCAAAGGUAUAAUGUUUCAACUAAUUUAAUUUCUAUACAGAGAUUGUGUGAUGCAUAACAGAAACUAUAUAAAAUCAAAAUAAUCAUCAUCUAUGCUAAACUAAAAAUUUGCAAAAAAAAUUAAAUUUAAAAAAAAAAAAUGCAAAUUCCAGUUAACAAACUAAAAUUGAUCAAGAUGAUAAUAAUAAUAACUGAAAAACAAUAUGAUGAUGAUGAUGAUGAUGAAUCGACAUGAAAAUGAACAGAUCCAAUAAAUUGAGAAUGAUUAUUAGAAAAUAAAGUGAUAAAGAAGCAUCCACCGACUUACAGAAGAAGAAAGAGAGAAACGAUCGGAAUCGGAGUUUGAGGUGCGAUCGUGAGUUCAAUCAACACCGUCGAUUCCUUCUUCUUCGCACCUUCGAUUCUUGUUAUUCAGUUACAAAAACCACAAAACGCUGAAACUGAAAAUUCUCAAACCUUUCUUCUUAUUAAUUAUUUCAUUUCACCAAAAUGAUCGAUGAUAUAUAGAUAUAGAUAAAAUAAUAUAUAUUAUUAUAUUAUAUACUUUUUUUAAUAAAUGAAACUUUUAUCCGAAUUGUUAGUAAUUGUUUAUUUUAUUAUUGGAUUUCACUUUUCUUUGUUUGUUGUUUUUCUGUUUUGGCUUUGUAUCUAUGAUUUUAACUUCUUCUUCUUCUUCACGUUUUGUGAAAUGACAAUUACUACCCUUGAGUUACAGUUUGUUUGUAUAUAUACCUUCCUUGUUUCUUAAACUAUUACGUCUUUGUGUUCUUACUUCUUCUUCUUCUUCUAUACGAAACUUUCUUCAAUUUAUUAUAAUAAUCAUCAUCAUAAUCUUCCACGUUUGAAAUCUGAAUAAUGUUGUUCUAUUUUUUCAUUUUAUAAGGUUUGAAUAAUAAUGUUGUAAGUUGUUGGAUGUAAUUAAGUAAACUGGGUGGGUAGUUAACGUACAUCUCUACGUAUAUUGGUACGUUACACAAAAUGGAAUCGUGGUGGAGUCAUUAACACUUGAUAAUAAUAAUAAUUAACAUGCAAUGUCAGGCUUACUUUUUUUUAUAUAAAGCUAUUUUUUACAUUUUGUUUUAUGACUUAUAAUUUAAAAGAUCUGUUUGGUAACAGUUUUUUCACAAAGAGUUUUUAGCUUAUUUUACUAACUUUUAGCUUCUUUUUGAGAAGCUAUUUCAAGUAGCUUCUGAGCUCAUAACUUCUAGCUUUUCAUUUUUUCUUCCUCUUUUACCCUUAUUAUUUUAACUAAAAUCCAUAUUUACCCUUUAUAAUUUAUUAUCAUUAGAAUUUAAAAUAAAAUAAGUAAAUACAUGUUUUAACGUUGUUUCUUUUAAAAUCACAUAUAUAUAGUAUGUUUUAACGUUGCCUUAUUAUCUAUUUUCAAAUAUGAAGGCUAAAUCAUUUUUUUUAUCAAUUCAUAGGUACGUACCUUAUUAUAAUUUUUUUUUUGAAAUAACGUAUCUUACUAUAAUUAACCAUUAUACUAUAUUGUGAAUAUAUUUUGUUGUUAUUUUUUAUAAAGUAUAUCAACUGAAAGGAAAAUAAUUUUUUUAAAAAAAAUUCAGCAUAUAAAAAUUAGUUUAAUAAUAAUAUUUGAAAGAUAUAUUUAUUGAAUUAAUAAACUUAAAAUAUUGUCCCAAAAAAAUAAAAUUAAAUUAAAAUAUUAAAUUAUAAGUAUCUUAAAUAGUAUUAAUUUGGUUAAAAAAAUAAUUGAAUUAAAGAUGUCUUUUUAUGUCAUUUUACAUUUAUCAGUCAGUUGAACCGCUAAUUUUACCAGACACUUCAAUCAGCUAGAAGCUAUCAGCCAGAAGCUAUCAGCUAGCUUAUCAGUCAUAAGCUAUUUUUGCCAAACAAAGCCUUACCGGGUUGAAUCAAAAUAUUUUUAUAGUUUUUUUUCAUACCUUAACAUCAUUUUUAUGAUUCUGAAAAAUCAUAAUUUUUAAUAGUUAUAGUGAUCUUACCUGAUGAUCAGAGAAGGUUGAUAAUCAGAUAAAUUGUUGUUGAAUAAUCCACGGAGGGGGGUUUGUACCAGAGAAGAUACAAAUUUAAGCUAGGUUAAGAAUGAGAAUCGAAUAUACUAUAUAAAGGAGGGUAUUUAUAGUUCCCCGGUGCUGGGCCAAAGAUCCAUUAAUGGGCCGUGUUGAACAGUUCAUUAAGAGUGACUGCCAGGAUUUCUCCUUGGAUGGAGGAAAAGACUGUUCGUGGUCUUUAUCCUGGGCAAGUUUCAGGAGAUAAUAUAUAUUGCUCUAUUUUAAAUGUAAGUAAAAAAUAAAGUAUUUGGUAUAAAUUUUUAUAUACAACAAAUUUUUGUUAGGGAGUCCCGGGAAAAACAAUGGGUCAAUACUCCAGAACCACAAGAGAGGGAGACGCCAUAUCUCCACCUAAAAAUUUAAGGCAUUAGGUUAAUAGGUCACAUCUCUUAUAAAUCAAGAGUUGAUGUGAGACUUAACCAUUCACACUUGAAAUCCAACAUUUUUCACUCAUCUUAAGAUAUAAAGUGUUAAAGAGUUUUUCUCUUUGCUACUUACUAACAAUGAAUUUAUCAAAGUGUUAAAAGAGUUUUGGAUAACUUAAACAUAAUUUCAUCUCCGAUUUUUUUUGUCAAAUAGCUUAGUAACUAGACUUAAAUUUAAAUUUGGAGAAAUGUGAAAUCCGAGUUCGAACCUUAUGAAAAAUAUUAGGUUAAAAAUGAAGAAUUCACUUUGUAUACUCCACUACCUAUAAUACGACCUAAUUUUUAAUCUAAGUGGUUUUAAUAUUAUGGAUUUAGAUUUAGAUUACUGUACAUUUGACAAGCUACACAAUCUAAACGUGACAUUAAUUUCACACGAUUUGUGUUUCAAGUAACUUUUGUAUAUUUUAGAUCUAUCUUUACUUUCUACUUAAUUGCAUGAACGCAGAACAUUAGAAUUGUGAGUGUUUGUCACACCUAUUUGGCAUUUAUGAAAAGGGUACUAAUUUUGGACCAAACAGGAAGCAUGAUACCUUUGUUUGUAGGGAAAAGCACUUUAAUAUAUGUCAAUACUUUUUCCAACAAUGAACUUGGCUGAAUCAUUUACAGUACUAUUUCCAAUUAUGAAUUGCAUUUGUUUCAUGAACUAAGGCUUGAUAUCUUGCACAUUAAUUGUUUCAUGAUCAAUCAACUUCAUACACACACUACUUUCAUUGCCAUAAAUUUUUUGUGAAAUUUCUUUAAAGCAUAGUACAUUAGUACUUUAUAUGAACAAAGACACUAAAAGGCAUACAUAAAACUUUGUUGCAUCAUUUGUGAUCUGGAUUAUACCUGAUCGAAUGACAACUGCGUCUUCUCCUGUGUUGAAAGUCAAUUAUAUGUAUGUAAUUAAUAUUAUUAUUAUUAUUAUUAUUGUGUCAUCAAGCUAAGUAGGAAUAUUCUAAAUUAGGAUAUAACUAUGUAUAUAGAGAAAGUUAAGGCCUAGGGAGAUCACAGAAUUAUCUCCACUUAAUUUCUGUCAUGAUUAGCAUAAUCUUUUUCCUGUUUUAGAGUCCUAGUUCAGUCUAUAAAUUGGUGUAAUGUACAGAGAAAAUAAUCAAGCAAAUACAUUUCAUUCUAUUGUGUUUCUUCUUAUAUCCUGAUUCUAGCUUGAACAACAAUUCAGGACCUUGCAAUUUUUGCAAAGAAAAUUGCAUUGCCAGAAACAUUGACUGGUCAAUAUUUUUAUUUACACUCUGUUCAAGGAUAAUAACUAAAGAUGGUAGCCAACUCAUACUUGUCAACUGUUCACAAAUCAAAAGCAAGAAACUCACAUCACAUCUAUGCGACUAUGCGCAAUAAGGCCUCUCUAGUUGCACUUUGUACAUCACCAUUUGCAUUACGGCACAAAAACACAAGCUCACGAAAUAAAUGCUCUUGACAUAUAAGAAAGUAGCUCUAUGCAAAGACAAAGUGUUCUUCAUGCGGGUGCUUCAUAGCAUCAAAUAAGUUGAAGUGAAUAACACGCUUCCCAAACUCGAUAGAAAGUGUCCCUGCAUAAACAUCAAUUUUAGCUCUGGUGUGUUAAUAAGUCAUACAUCAGUUGUGAUAUGGUAUGACUAAGUGUUUAUAAAUUAGAGGCAAUCCUCACCUUACAAGCCGGUUUUGUAAGGAUGAGUUAGGCCCAAUAUUCAUUUCUAAGAUGAUAUCAGAGUCUAUCCAUGAUUCGUUUGGCCACUUCGUUGGGUCGCCUGCAAUCAGGUUUCUGAUCGGGCCCUCCGCCUUUCAUAUCCGCGCCUCAAGCCCUAUGCUCCUGAGACCGUUUGAUCCAUCUCGACGGUUCUCAUCCUCCCCAAGGCCAGCUAUUGUCAGUUGACAUAGACAGUUAUAACCAUCUUCCCCUAUAUAAAGGCAAGUUUUUGUGCCAAGGUACACAAUCCAAUCACUUUCACAUCACUCUCUGGAUCACAUAUUGACUUGAGCGUUGGAGUGUUAAUGUGUUUUGCAGGUACUUCCCCGCCGUGAUUCACCAUACGUGAACUCCAUUUCCACCGUAACUGUCUCAAGCCUCGCCAUCAGAAUCAUCUAGUUCUAAUCAUAUCGAAUCACAUUCAUAUUCCAUAAAGACAUGUGUGUUCAAGUAGAAGUUUUGUCAUCAAUGUGAGAACAUCGGUAAGAUAAUAUGCAAGUAUAUAUGUUGAUACUCUAAUUACUCUCUGAGCCUUGAGAGUUGAGAGUUUUCUAACUCUGAUCUGAUUAACAUCUUGAGACCAAACUCAUCUAAACAUUUUUUUAUUAACAAAAAGAAACUUGAAAUUCUUAAAAUAGAAAAGAAACUAGAGUUUGUUUUUACAAUGCCAUGCAAAUUAAGUAUCCUGAUACCAAGUCCACUUAAUGAAACUUAUUAACAAAAGGGACUCUAGAAAACUCAAAACAGACAUAGCACUUGAAGUUGAUUUACAAAUUACAUAUGCAGCACAUAUAACAGAAUCCUCUCUUAAAUUUCUUAAGCAACACUGAAAGAAUUUGCUGUACUCUCCACAAAUCUUCUUGCUCCUUUAAACCACCUCUUGUCUCCAGCUUGAGCUUUGCAAAUGUAUAACUUUCCAUCUUUCACAGUUGCUCUAAUUAUUUGAUGCUUGCCACCUUCAUCUCCAUCAGCAGUUCUUGUCAACACAGACAAAACAUAGUACUUUUUCCCAUCAAUCUCAGGUGUUGAACUUUCCAGGAUGUUUGCUGUGGCAACAGCGUUCGGAUCGAAACCACCCUGAGGAUUUGAAGUUCAUACUCAUUUAGAAUUAUAAGAAAUGAUUUUAGGUGUAUUUGUGUUUAGUUGUUGGUUGCUUACCUCGGCUUGCGUUUCGCCGAAGAAGGCCUGCUUUCCUAGUAAAUAAUUCACCUGCAAAGUGGAAAAAUCAAGUUUUGAUCUUGAGUUUCAACCACCAAGUAGCAACUAUUGUCAUUGUCUUAAAAAAUUCACAUAGACAUUAUUCUUUAUGAAUGGUAGGAACUUGGUAAGUACAAAUUUAAGAUAAGUGUAUUUUUGGUAUCACGGUGGAUAUUUCAUAAUCACGGUGACCCACGUGAUUCUGAUACAUCCACUGUGAUACACCGAUACCAAACAUAGACUUAAAAAAAACCACUCUAGUUUCGUAGUACUAGUUUACCUGAGAAAGAAAUUCCUCAGGUGAACCAUAGUCAGUGAUGGACUUCUUAUCAGUUGGAGUCACAGUGACAACGACAUUGCUAGUCGAAUCGAAGUUGUCUUCAUAUCUAACAACUUGACCUGUGUAUUCAACCUCUUUGCUAGGGUUCCACUUUGAGGGAACUGAUAAUUUGAAUCCAUCUCCAUUGUAUGGUAGGAAGUCUGUGUUUGUCUUUGGUUUUCCAAACACAUUGGCUGCAAGCAAAACAAUCCUUUUGCUUAUAAGCAAAAAAGAAAGGUUAUAAAUGUUUGUUGGUCUAAUACAAGAUAUAAGCAAAUUCUUACUAUCUUCACCCUAUUUAGGCCUUGUUUGGAUAAACAACUUAAUUUGCAUAAACAACUUAAUUGUAGCUUAUACAUAGCCUUAUUUAUCAUGAUAAGUACUUAUGUAUAAGUUCUUUCAAUACAAAAGAUAAAAUAAGUUAAAUUGUUUUCGUAUAAUCUAUAAAUUGUUUUCAUAUACUAUGUUGGAGAGCUUAUGAAAAUAAGUUGAAAUCAACUUAUGAACAUAAGUUCUCCUAAAUAGUCACACACGUGUUUAUGCCAGUAGAUAACUCAAAAAAGUCGAUCCAUAAAACUCUUAAUGUUAUCGUUCUCAAUCUAUCCUUCAAUUUACUGAUAUUUAAGUCAUGAUCAGGGAGUAUAUGGUUUCCUAAAGCAUUAAACUAUAAGUGAUCUUUCCAAUAUAAAAGUUAUACGGUUAGAGUUGGAGUAUUUUGUUUUUAAGCAAGAGUUCGGCAGGUAGGUAAUACAGAGUUCGGCCGCGACUCUAACUCUUUAUUAACCCUAAAGCAUUAAACUAACAAAAUACCCCAACUCUAUAACAUAUAUACCACUCUAACUCUUUAUUAACCCUCUCAGAGGAAUGUAAUAAAGAGUUCGGCUACGAGGUAAGUAAAGUCUGGCCAAAAGUGAUUUCCACAAGGAACUGAACUGGGAUUCUCCCGAACAAUUCAUCCUAAAGAGAGCUCAUUAACUACCUUUUUUUUUUAAUCAAAGUUCAUUAACUACUUAAACUCAACUUAUUGGUUUACCAUAAAGAAUACAAUUUGAUUAUGAGAAAGAAAGAAAGUAAAAUACCAGAUUGACCAUAGGCUGCAUGAGCAGGUGAGACCUUAGAACCAACAGCAGCAGUACCAAUAAGAACAGUUAGAGCUAACCGACGAGAGACUAUGCUGCUGCUGCAAUGAUCAUCCUCUUGAUCAAUUGCAUGCUUCUGAUUCUGAGCCUUGCAAACAAGAAACUGGUUUGGCUUAUGGCGUUGUGAUGAGAAUUUGGUAUUUGUAGUAAGUGCAGGGUGAGACAAGAAACAUUGAAUAGAAGAAGCCAUUGAAUUUGUGUAGCUAUAGCUUAACUAUCACACUCUCUUUGUUUGUUCUGUUGAUCAAAAGUUUGGUGAUUAAUUUAAGACAACGUUGUGAAGUUGGAAUUUAGUGUAGAAUGUUCGAGUAUUUUCUGUACUGUUGUGUGACAAUGACAAUGAGAUUGUGGUUGGUUGGUUUUGGAUUUUGUGUUACAAGUGGAUGCAUGGUUGGUUGGAUAAGGUAGUAAUGGCUCUCAUUGGUGCCAUGUCAUAUUGUCAUGCCAUGCAUAUGUAUUUCUAUGUCAUUUUCUUCAUGUCAAAAAAUAGUGCAGUCAUGCACUCGUCGAGUUUUAGGUUAUUCAAUUUUGAUCGGACAACUUAUAUUUUAUUUCAAAAUUCUAUAUUAAACAAAAAUAAAAAUUGUCAUAAAAUCUGAAUUAUUUGAUUUUGAUAGGAAUAUUAUGAAUUGCUGACUACAUCGGUUGCUUGCAGACCCGACCGCACUUAAUCCAAUUUCGUUUGAAAUACUUGAAGUUGAAGAGGAUAUUGUCAUCUCCCGAUUUACUUGGUUUAUGCGAUAUAUUUCAUGCAUGUGUUUGGAUCAGCGGUGAGACUUAAGAGUGACAAAUGGGCAAAUUUAAUGUUGGAAAAACUGCACUUUAUAAUUUCAUAAAAUCAUUGUGGUUCACCGUGACUUUUCAAUAUCACCGCUUAUUUAAACAUGCAUAAAGUUUAGUUUGUGUUUCUUUAUAUAGUGAUGCUAAGGUAUAUAUAUUUAAUUUGUAAAAGAUAAGUACACGACACAUAGAACAAUACAUGACAAACUUUUAAGGUUUUGAAUAAAUUUAUAUCAUCUUUUACUAUAUUUAAUGAACAAAAAAUUAUUUUAAUAUUUUAGAUAAUUUGUAUUUGAAACAAAAAGUAGUUAUAUAAUUUAUUUAUUUUUGAUUGAUAGACGAAAUGGCAAAAUCAUUGAAAACUCACACACACAAAAUUGUUAUAUAAUUUACUAAAUGUCAAUAAUGUCAAUCUCAUAUUAGAAGAAAUACACUCUUAUGUUAGUAGAAAAUUCCCUUUCAUCUCUCUAAAAAACUCUCCUAUCUAUUUCCAAACAAAGUUUUAGUCAUCUUAAGAAUUUGAAAAUGGAUACAUUAAUCCCACCACCUACCUCUAUCCAUAAAUGAUCCUUUAAUUGCUUAAAGGAUAACAAGAGAGUGAGAAGAAGAAGAAGAAAUGACCAAUUUUGGGAGAAAGAGACUCUACAAUUAGAUUUAAAAAUUCAAAAUAUUCUUUAUAAUUUAAUUUCGAGUAUAAACAUUUUUUUUAAUUAUUCAAUUACUAAAUAAAAUGUCCCACUAGACACAUACAGGGUGAGGAUUGUCUCUCGUGACAAUCCCACUUGAUAUGGUUCAGUAUUGAUCCAAAUCUUUCGUUCUUUUUUUUUUUUUAUGAUUGUACUAUGUGAAAACAAAAAAAUUUGAAUGGUCAAGAUUUCAAUGGAGAAAUAUUUUACGGAAGAGAAUCCCUACAGACCUACACAUACCAACACCAACUUAAAAAGUAAACGCAUUUAAGAAUAAAUAUUCAUUUGUAGAUAGAGAGAUAAAAAAAAAAUUAUCUAUAAGGUCUAGUUUAAUCACAUUAUCAAUAUUGUUAAAUUGAGUAUUUUCAAUUAGAUUCAAUUUCAAAACUUCACAAUCUCGUAUGUGAAUUUAUGAUAGUAUUUGUCAUUUAUCAUCUACAAAAGAAAAAUUAAUGUUAUUGAUAAAUUAUAACUUAACCGAUAAAAAUGACGAAAUUAUUAGAUCGAAUACUAUGAUCGAAGUUCGAAUUUUAAUUUUUCACUUUAUUAUGUGUGAAUUUUCAAUAGUUUUGAUUUUAUUUAUCUAAAAAAUAUGUCACGUUUUAAAAUUUUAGACUAAAAGUUGAGUUUUUUUUAAAGCAAAAGUUGAGUUCUUUUCUAUGGGCCCAAAAUGGAAUAUUUCCAACUUUAUUUAAUUUAAUUUCCUAAAAUAUAUACAUUAUUGCCUACUCUGCCACACCACACCCAUUUUCUCUUAAAUUAAUUAUCUUUGCUUCACUGUGUUCACAUCACUUCAUUCAGUUCAGUGCUCUUUAGCCUCAAUUUCUCUCUGCUCAUUCUGGUUUGAUCCACAAUCCCAUUCAUUUUCAUCUCUUUCAUUUCACUUUCUUUCAGCUUUUUUCAUCUAUUCAUGCUUCUUACAUGUUUGUUCUAUUGUCUCAUUUACUUCAUCUCUUCAAUUAUUUUUGUGAUUUGUUGUUUUCUACACUGUGAGUUAUUCAAUUAGCUGAAAAACUGUUCAUUUAGGUUUUUGCAUGUGUUUGUUGGAAGGAAAUUGAAUUUGACUUUGAAUUUCAUUGAUCUAUGCUAUUAUAUGUCAAAUGCAUUUCCUUUAAGCCUCUGAAUUGUAAAAGAUAAGAGAUAAAUUGAAAAGAAAAAUUUGGGGUUGCCCCUUUUGCUUUUCUGCUUUCAAAGUUUCAAUUUUUUUUUUUUAAAAAUGUUUUUUUUUUCUUUCUUUCUUUUUCUAGUAAUUAUUGAUCCUGGUUUGUCAAGUUUGCUUUGAGACUAAAGAUAAUUUUUUUUAACCAAGACAUUGGACUUAAGUGGUUAAUGAGUUCUCCCUAGGAUGAAUGGUUCGGGGUAACCCGAGUUCGAUUCCUGGUGGAAACAAUUCGUGGUCAGGCUUUAAUUACCUCCCGGCCUACCAUAAAAAAAAAACAUUUUUUUAUUGGUGGUAGUAUUUUUUUUAAUACUUUUUCACUUUUAGGUGUUUUGUGAUGUUUUGCACAAAUGAAAAGCAAAUGGGAACAUGGUUUAACUCACGUAUGUGUCGCUGAUCCUUGAUAUUGCAGAAAAUUGGGGUCAAAUAUGGUUACUGCAACCUCAAUGUGGUUGGAGAGAUAUAAAAAAUUUGAUAUGUUGCCACUACAAUUGUGGUUGCAGAUCGUUUUUUAAAACCUUGAGUGGGAAUACUGUCUUGAGCUUUUGGCUCGGGACAAGUUUUUGGAGUUCAAUUUUCUUGUUAUUGGUUGUGGUUUGUGCUUUGAAAAUGGAUAACACAUAACAUAGUAAGGUUAUUAUAUCGAUUAACCAUGUAAAUUUGAUCAAGUUUCUGCACAGUCUAGUCAAUUGCAGGAUUCAUGAAGACUAGCAUGUGGUGUGUGUGUGACUGUGUGUUGACUUGAUCCUAAUGGACUUAUCUUUUCCUAAAGAUCGAUUGUUAAUGUUUACUUUUACUAUCGAGUUUUCAUUUGAACUUUGAAGACUUUUUUGUGAAGCAAAUUACAAAAGUCACAGGUUUUCAUGUUUAAGUUUGAUAUCUUUUUUGUUUGAGUAAGUUUGUUUGUAACGAAUGAAUGCCUUAUAGGCUUUUGUGGAAGGGAUCAUUGAGAAAUAUACUAUUAUGUAAUUCAAAAUGUAUUUGUGAAUGUUGACUUUAUAGUUAACUAUACAAUCUUCUCUAAUGUCAUGAUUUUGGGGGAAAAUGCUUGAAUCCCUUACAUCUCUUACAUUCGCUUUAUGUUUGUUGAUUUCUCCAUAUAUGGUGAUUGUCGUUGCAAUGGUGUUAGGCAUGAUAGCCAUUACAUACAACAUUUAUGACGUUCUUUUUAUCGUUAGAUUUUCAGGAACAAUGUCUGAGAAAACUACAGCCGAAAAGCUUCUAAACACCCUCGUGGAAACACUAGAGAAGCAAAAAUCUGGAUCAUUCUUUGAGAAGCAAAACUCUGGGUCAUUCUUUGAGAAGCAAAAAUCUGGAUCAUUCUUUGAGAAGCAAAACUCUGGAUCAUUCUUUGAAGAUGUGACGGCAAACUCAAUGACCUCCCAGUUCAAUAAAUUGUUUGGACGCGAGAAACCUGUGCACCAUAUUUUAGGCGGUGGAAAAUGUAUGACAAUGGCAAUUCUAGUGAAUUUCCUGUAAAAUCUUUCAUAUUGGCUUCAGCUUUUAAAUCUGUUUUCUUUUUUACCCUUUGAAUGUUAUAGCUGCUGAUGUCUUGUUAUGGAGGAACAAGAAGAUCUCUGCUAGCGUUUUAACCGCUGCAACAGCUAUUUGGGUGCUUUUUGAAUGGCUUAAUUAUAAUUUCCUAUCUCUUCUAUUCCUUGCCCUGGUUCUUGUCUUGUCUGUACAGUUUCUUUGGACAAAUGCUUCCACCAUGUUUAGCAGGUUGUCGAAGCAUCCUUGAAUUUCUUCCUGUGUUGCCUUAUUCUUAUAUAAUACUUUACAGAUUUUAUAAUACUUUCUCUUUUUUCUGUGGUGACAGGAAGCCAUCUAAAGCUCCUCGUUUGGUUCUCCCAGAAGAUUUAUUUGUAAAUAUCGCAACUGCGGUUGGUACUGAGGUUAACCGUGGUUUAAGGGUUCUUCAAAAUGUUUCAUGUGGAGGAAACUUGAAGCAAUUUGUUCUUGUAUGUUUACUCUUAUGUUUUCUUGCCUUUGUAUUUUCAUUGAUAAUCCAUAUUCAUGCUUAAAAACAUCUAUCUCCGUCCCAAUAUAGGACUCUCUUGAGAUUUUUCACUAUCACUUUUUAUAGGCCCCUUUCAAAUUUUCAACUGUAUUAAUUAUUUCUUUACCAACAUUCCCCUAAUUAUGUUGUAUCUUUUUCUGCAACUUGUAAUAAAUAUUAUCAUAAAAGCAUAAAGGAAAAACAAUAUCAUGUGAUUUAGUCAACGAGGUCUUAUAUUUAGGGAUGGAGGUAGUAGUUUUUAAGUUGAAAAUCAAAAACAUUGAUUGAAUUUGUGAUAAUGCUUAAAACAUCUGUAGGCUGUAGUAGGCUUAUGGGCUGGUGCUGUGCUUGGGAGCUGGUGCAAUUUCUUGACUGUCAUGUAUAUCGGUAAGAGAUCUUCCUCCUUCUCUGUCGAUAGAAUGUGUUGGCCAUAAUAUUUCCAAGUUAUUAAGUUAGGUCACGUUUGCAAAGCAUAUUUUAAAUUUCAAUUAUCCUACAAAUCUUAUCGUUAAAUAAUUAAAUAGUUGAAACUGUAAAAAUAGUAUUUUAUAUAAGUUAUCUUGAUUCCAAUUGCAUAGUAUGAAAAAUUAAAGAAAAACUGAACAAAGAGAGAAGAGAGCAUGGAGAAUGUUUCUAAACUGUGAAAUUAACAAUCCAAUUCACAUAGUUUACUAAAUUAUACAUGUGUUUGUGUGUGGUCAUGUGGAUAGUAUAACAUAAAUAACACACACAUUUUUAAGUGUUUCAUGGUAAUAGAUCAUAUGAAGAACCAAAUCUUGUAAUCAAUACGUUAGUCAAUGUUGAUGUAUAUUAUACUGUGAGAAUGGAUGAUAUUAAGAAGUUCAACGGCGAUGUUUUCUAGUCAAUGUUAUUUUGGUCAUACUUGAAUUUGAUUGCUAUAAUUUUGUGUUAUGUCCUAAGGUUUUGUUGCUGCACAUACUCUCCCGGUUCUCUACGAAAAGUAUGACGAUCAGAUUGAUAACUUCGUGUACAAGGUAAUUGAUCAGAUGCAAACUCAGUAUAAGAAGGUGGAUUCUGGUUUGCUUAGCAAAAUCCCCAAGGGAAAUAUCAAAGAAAAGAAGGUUGAAUAGGUUCAUGUUUAUGUAGAUGGUUUGAUUUUUAAUAUCCAUUUCUCACUUGUGAUGAAAUUGGGACACAACUGAAUUUGUUGCUUCUACUUUGACUCUAAUAUUUUCUAUGUUGGAGUCUUCAAAAUUUGUGCUAUGUUCAUUAUUGACUCAUUGGUGGAAAGUAGAAACCACAAUAAUUUCCUUAAACUCCAUCAUGUUUUUAGAUUAUAGUGGUUGGCAUAAUAUUUUAAGGGUCAUGUUAAACGGUGCACCCGGUGCACUUGUUAAGCAUACCUAAAAUAGAAAUAAAACAUAAAGGAUAAUCUCAUAUUUUUCUUAAAAAUGUUUUUUUGACAGUUGCUUUCAUAUCAUGUCCCACAUGUUUGGGUCAUCCACCAUAUCUUGUGGUCUGAAACAAACUAUGAUGCGAGGACCGCUACUUCUGCCCCCCAUCCCCCACCUCUCUCACACACCCACUUUCCCUUUGAAUUUUUUAAAAAUACCUUGUUCGGAUUCUAGAAUCCAAAAUUAUGUUUAGAUUCUAGAAUCUAAACCUAUGUUUAUUGAGACAAUUCAAUUUUCUUAGGUUGUUUACGUUGUUUUAGAUAUGAAUGCACUUCGUGAUUCUCCCGUUGAUGAGAAGUUAGAAAUUGUCAAAUUGCACUUAAAGUUGUGGAUUUUUCCCAUUGGUGCGAAUUCAGACAUUGUAGAACUUUAGCUCUCUUUGCAUGAGCGAACUGAUCCACAAUUUUAGAUGCAAUUUUUGGCUCUGCAACAACAGAAGAAUCAUGAUGAGCAUCUAUAUCUUGAAACAACGUAAACAACUUAAUUUCGGUCUUUCUUUAUUUUGCUCUUUCAACAUUGACAAAAUAUUUCUAUGCGGGGCCAAAUUCCUUGUCAUCUCAGUAACAAACUCUUUCUCUUUCGGCUUUAAACUUCCGGCAAUAAUAUGACAUUCUAACCAUUUGUCCAACUUAUGAUUGUGUAAGCCACACAACCGUAAGAUUCCAUUAUUGUGAUGCCAGAAAAUAACCUUGAAGUCUAAAUGGACAUUCACAUGUUCUUGUUUUGGUCUUUUCAGAUUUUGACUUCUUGUUGGUUGGUUUGUAUGCGCCACCCCUCUUACAACCCAACACAAAAUAUUGUUUCUUCUAAACGAACCGUAGUCGGGUUUAUCAAUAUUCGGUUUCAAUUCAUCGGGAGGUUUUCAUUUAUCAACCAUAACUACAAAUAAAUGACAAAACAUAUAAACAUCAACACAUAUCACAUAAUGCAUGUCAAAGAUACAAAACUUGCGGAAAAUUGCAGGUCUGGGCAAAGUUCAGAAUCUGUUUUCCGAACCAAAUCAGUUUCCAAUGCAAAAAUAUUAUAACAUCAAGGAAUGCACAAAGGAAUCAGUAGAAAACUAAGAUUAUCUUUAUGUUUGAGUCUAAAUGAGUGUGGAAACCACUUGACAAUGCUCCAAUGUCGGUUUUAGACCCCAAAUCCAAUAAAAAACGAAAACUUUUUUGAGAGAAAUUUAGAUUAAGUAUAGAUGAAGUGGAAUACAUUGGGUAAUAUCUGGUGUGUAUAAAGGACCAGUUCGAAAAAUAGAAUAUGAACCUAAGCGAACAGAAAAUGGAUUCCGAACUAGAAAAUGGUUGAGAACGUAGUUUAUGAACUAAGCUCCUAUGGGCAAAAACGAAAUUUCAGGGGGUCUGGGAGAAAGAUGGGGGGGGGGGGAUNNNNNNNNNNNNNNGGGAUUAUAAUUCACACAUUAAAGUUUCGAGUUCGAAUCCGAGUAAAAACGUCUAACCUAAUAAUAUUAUCAUUUUCAGUUGAAUUGAGAUUUACCGCCAAAACAUAAUGUUAUUCUAUUGUAUAAAAAGAGAGAUAGUUUAUUUGUUUGGCUACAAAGAAAGAUAAGUUAUUUUAUUAGGUAGGAUUAUAUGCACCAAAGUUUCAUAUACUACCUAUUAAAAUUUUGAAAAGUCAGAAGGGAAAUGAAAGUUCUGAAACAAGCACAUGCAUUACACAGUUGCAACCCUUUUCCUCUACACAAGAGGUCACAUUUGGCCAAAAAACUAAACCUAUCUUAACCCUUUGGCCUUUUGCAUUAACAUUCACCUUUUGAGAACUUAUUUGGUAUAUAUAUCAUUAUCCAUGUCAUCUAAAAUGUGCAUGUGACAAUAAAACUCAGGCGUGUGUGUAACCUCUUAAUACCACAUGUUGAAUGUGGUAUGCAACAAGAAGCCAUGAGUUUUGCUCAAGUUAUGGGCCAUAUUUGUCCAUCAUGUCAAAUUGUAUGGAGAGAAACCUAAACACCUCAGCCAUUGCCUCCUUUGCACUCUUAAAGAAUGUUUUAGUUUUAACAAGAAAACAAAACCAAAAUUUAAGUGCCUUAAUUGUGGUAGAGAAAGCAAAUAAAGCAAACAUAGCUUUCUAACAAUCUUGAAUAUAUUUAAAUUGUCCCAUUUAUGGUAUGAGAUUAUGAAUUACACGUUUUACUCAAAUGUUGCUUUUAGAAAUUUGAUUAAAACAAUAAAACAUGAUUGAAUGUAUGUAUUUUUUUUUAUAGUAUAUAUUAUAUAAGUGUUGGAGUAGAUGUCAUCUUAAAUUGUUUUGUCUAUAGUUCAGUAGUAAGAAUUUAAAUUUGUAAUUUCAAGAAUUUAGUUUAGUGGUAGAAAUGUAGGUUUUAAAUUCGGAGGUUCUGAGUUCAAGUCUUGUUAGUGCUCUUGAAAGAAGAUAAUAUAAUUAUCUUUAUAAGUGUUUUAAGAGCUCUAAGCUAAUUUGUUGGAGUUUAAAAUUGUACAAUCUUAUCUUCAUCGGACAAUUGAAAUUAGACAACUGUGCAAUUACAUAAUUUCGUAGACUGCAUAGAAUACGAGUUCAUUACCAAUCGUUAAUUGAUCUAACGGUGAUUGACGCUGGACUUGGUAGGGAGGACCACAGUGCGAUCCCCGCAAUUGUGAUCGGGAGGAGACUAGAACCAUUUGAUGUCAGAACUGACCUCCAAACCAGAUUAGACGUUCCAAUGAACCGGAUAAUGAUGGUGUAAACCAAAAAAUAAAACAAGAAAAAAGAAAGGGAAAAAAACGAAUACGGGUCCAUUUUUUACUGCAGUAAAUUUGAGUAAAACUUUAAGUGUAUAAAUAAGGUGGUUUUGAAGACUCAUUACCUCAUCUUGAGUCCAACACAUUUACUUCACAUUAAAACCAAGGACACUCUAUUCUCUAUAACAUUUUUGUGCUACAAUGGUUGUCUCAACUUCCAUGGAAUCUAGUCUUCCCAUGUUUCUCAUGGGAAAUCACUUGGCUGCAACUGAAUUCCUUAGCUUUUGCAACCAAAGUAAGCGUGAAGGCGAUGACGAUGAUGGCGACAUCGAUAUAGCGCCGGCAGCAUAGUUGAUUUGGCACCACAUGUAGCAAGGUUAUGAGGAAGCACACAUGAGGUGAGAAAUGAAGAGUUAUAGCUAGCACUUGUGUUUGUGUUGUGCUGCAUUUGUAGAGAAUAAGAGAUGGUGUAUUUAUUUAUAUAGUAGUAAGUAAUUAAUCUAUCUGUGUAAGCUUCUAUUAAUCUAUUAUGUUUGUUUUCACUGAAAUUUAUAUUACAACAAUAUAUAGUAGUAGUUGUGUUCUGGUUUAUUUUAUGGCAUAAUCUAUUAUAUUGUGUUCUGUUUCCAUUAAGUUUUGAUAUUUAACAUUACACCUCAUCAUCAACCUAAGAUGUCAUAUAUAGUCCUCAUAAUAUAUAUUUUUUGGUACAUAACUCAUAAUAUUUUUUUUUUAAUCUUUUGCACUCUGCAGUAAGUUACAAAUUCAUUGAACAAUUUGCUAGUAUAUUGUUUUCUUUCCCCUAAUUCUCAAACAAAGAGGGCUAUAAAUGUAUAUUGAACCAUUUUGCAGAGCUGAAAUUAAAUUUUCCUAUUGAUAGUUUGAUAUUUGUCAGUUUUUAAUGGCUAUUGUCAUUUUUGUCAAUCUAAAAAAAUUAAAAUACUCAAGUGAUUAGUAAUGGAAAGAAUAAUACCAUUAUCCAAAUUAAGCAAGGUAUUGACAAUGAGACAACUGCAGCUUUCUAAUUAA